CAAUCGCUGCUAUCUCUACAGCCACGCUACCGCAUAUAUUUCCCGAACUCAAAUGGUAUUACAUAUAUUGGUUAUCUACAUCUUUGCCCCAGCCCUUGCAUUCUGUAAUGCUUAUGGCUGUGGCCUCACUGACUGGUCCCUAGCUUCCACCUAUGGGAAGCUUGCAAUUUUUGUAAUUGGGGCAUGGGCUGGUGCCUCUCAUGGUGGAGUUCUUGCAGGACUAGCGGCCUGUGGAGUCAUGAUGAAUAUUGUCUCCACAGCCUCCGACCUCUCUCAAGAUUUCAAGACUGGUUAUCUAACCCUUUCUUCACCACGGUCCAUGUUUGUGAGCCAACUAAUUGGCACUGCAAUGGGUUGCAUUAUUUCACCUUGUGUCUUUUGGCUGUUUUUCAAGGCCUUCAAGGAUCUUGGGACUCCUGGAAGUCAAUACCCUGCUCCUUACGCUACUGUAUAUCGAAACAUGGCUAUAUUGGGGGUAGAUGGAUUCUCGUCUCUGCCAAAGAAUUGCCUCUAUCUUUGUUAUGGGUUCUUCGGCGCUGCUAUUCUGAUAAAUUUAAUUAAGGAUGCAUUGGGUAAGAAAUGGGCUAGGUUCAUUCCUAAUCCAAUGGCGAUGGCUAUACCUUUCUAUAUUGGCUCAUACUUUGCCAUCGACAUGUGUGUGGGAAGCUUGAUUCUAUUUAUCUGGGAAAAGAUUGACAAGGCAAAGGCAGAUGCUUUUGGGCCAGCAGUGGCUUCUGGUUUGAUUUGCGGGGAUGGGAUAUGGACUUUGCCUAGUGCGAUACUUGCUCUAGUAGGAGUAAAACCUCCCAUUUGCAUGAAGUUUCUGUCAAGGAGAACAAAUGCUAAGGUCGAUGCGUUCUUAGAGUCAUAAAGUCGAAGUUGAGAUCAACUUGAAUAGAAACUGUGAAGUAAAGCUGAAUUGCUUCCCAGACUAAGGUUAUGAAGUUUACAUGUGAAGUUCGACUCAAAAAUGCUGUAGAUAAUCAAUCACCUGCUAUUUCGUGGAGCCAACCACUAUUUUCGCUAUAAUCUUUUCUGGAGAAGAAAAUCAAAUGUCCAUUUACUUAUAUAUGUUUGUAGUUUUUUUCUAGUCUAGUUUGAAGAAGGUUGUAGAACAGAUACAUCAAGCAAUGUGAAAGGUGAAAAUUACAAUACCCUUUGUGAGCUGUUAUGAUCAGUUGCUAUAUUUGGUAUCAGGUUUGCUCAUUUUGCUAGCUAUGAUCAUAUCAGGUGGUCCGAUUAAUGUGGCAUUGGAAUGGCCUUCUAGUUAUUAGCAGUCUCACAAUAAAACCAUGCCAGACUUGGUUAUCCAACCCGAGAAAAAAAAAAAUUGGAAAAAAUAUCAGAUUCGUCGAGGAAGACGAUAAAAGCUUCAGCGAAUAAGAUACUUGUAACAAAUAUUUUACCUAGGUUUUUCCUAAGAAUAUGAAAAGAAGCUGAAAAAUAGACAAGCUUUUCCGUAGUCUCAGGGAGUGUUUGGGGCUGCGUUUGUAGUUGUAUUUUGGUAAAUUUAAUUAUUAUUUUUUUGUUAAAAUUGAGUGUGGUUUGUAUUUUUUUGGAUCGUUUUGAUGUGCUGAUAUCAAAAAUAAUUUUUAAAAAAUAAAAAAACAUCAUUGACAUGCUUUUCGACACGAAAAUCUAUUUGAAAAACAACUACUAUCACAUUGUCAAACAUACUCUGAGGGAGUGAAGUACAUAAAGAGGUUAUCAUACGUUCUUCCCCAUGCAAAUAUAUAUUCAUAGUUAAUUAUCAUAGAAUCCUCAACUCUCCAUCUUCAAUCUCAAUCUUUGUAAGGCAAGAUCCUGCAUUGUUUUUUUGAGUUAAGUUUAAAUUAAAUAACGUUAAAUUAUUUAUUUUAAACUUGUAUUUUUUAUUCGCUUAUUUUAUUUUUAUUUAACAAAUUUCUCUGCAAGAUUGCUUGAUUUGUGUUAUGAUGUUAGUAUUUAGUAAACAAGUAAUUAGAAAAAUAAUCUCUGAUUAAUUAUGUUGAGAAGUAAAAACCCAACGUAUAUAUAAUUAAUUGGACAUUGUUUAAAUCUUCCACGCACGUUACAUCCAAGUCAAUUUCUUUAUUUCUUAUACCAUUUUUUCCCACAAACUUUGGACACUGGACAUACACAGAUUUUUUAUUUUCCUUUUUUUUUUUUUUUGGAAAUGAGCCAAUUGACUAUUGACUUCUCGUCUUCUACAAAUUAGAAAUAGAAGCUUUUGGCAUGGGAUUAGUGACCAUUUGGUAACUUGAUUAAAACAUUCCUUUUAAAAAAAAAAAAAAUUAAGGAAUAGCUAAAUAGUGACAAGUUUUGGGUUUACUCUCCAAUCAAAGUGAAUGAAAGCUUAUUUAUUUGUUAAUUUCUAGAUUUAUAAAAUUAAUUAAUGUAUGCGUAAGAUGACUCGGACACCCGCAUUAAUAAAAAUAAUUCUUUUAAAAUUUUAAUUUUUAAAUUAUUUUAAAAACAAUUUAUAUCACAUUUCUAAUCUAGCUCUUCAAAGUACCUACAUACCCCUACACACACAUACACACAUAAUAUAUAUAUAUAGGCUCAGCUCAAACACAUGUGAUUUAGGAUCACUUUGUUGUUUUAAACUUUUAAAAAAUAUAAUAUUAAUUAUUUUUUAAAAUAUUUUUUAUUUAAAAAAAUUAUUUAAAUUAUAUUUUAAAAUCAUUUUAAAAACAAUUUCUACUAUAUUUUUAGUAUAGCUCUUCCAAGUAUCACAUAUAUAUAUACAUAUUACAAACUCAAUUCAAUCAAAUAUUAUUUAGGAUAAUUUGUUAUUUUAGAGAGUGUUUAAAAAUAUAGUACUUAUUAUUUUUCAAAGUAUUUUUUUUAAGAAAAUAUCAAAAUAAUAUUAGCAUAUUAAAAUAAUUAAAAAACAUUAAAUAAAAUUAAUUUAAGACUUAAAAAAACAGACAUGCAACGACCCGUUUUAACUCCUCAUGUUCAUCGUCUUCAAUUCGCCUGUAAUGUGUUGAGCAAUAGUCACAACUCACAACCACUUAUUAAACAAGGUAAUGAAGAAUCAUUAUGAUUGUGAAAGAGACGACACCAAGGUAUAAGUGGUGUGUAAGGAUGCCUUGGGUAAGAAACGUGCUAUGUUCAUUCCCAAUCCAAUGGCAACGGCUAUACCUUUCUAUAUUGGCUCAUACUUUGCCAUCGACAUGUGCGUGGGAAGCUUGAUUCUAUUUAUCUGGGAAAAGAUUGACAAGGCAAAGGCAGAUGCUUUUGGGCCAGCAGUGGCUUCUGGUUUGAUUUGCGGGGACGGGAUAUGGACUUUGCCUAGUUCGAUACUUGCUCUAGCAGGAGUAAGACCUCCCAUUUGCUUGAAAUUUUUGUCAAGGAGAACAAAUGCUAAGGUCGAUGCAUUCUUAGGGUCAUAAAUUUGAAGUUCAGAUCAACUUCAAUAGAAACUGUGAGUUAGAGCUGAAUUGCUUCCCAGACUAAGGUUAUGAAGUUUACAUAUGAAGUUCGACUAAAAAAUGCUGUAGAUAAUCACCUGCUAUUUCGUGGUGCCCAGUGGCGGAGCCACGUGGGGACAAAAGGGGGCAAUUGCCCCCUCAACUUUUUUUUUUUUUUAAUUUAUAUGUAGUUGAAAGUGUUAGCUGAUCAGCACCAGCUUACCAAAAUGAAAAUGAAAACUGAAACAGGAGAUACCAAAAUUUAUAUUUAGGGAAUUUACUGCAGGGAAGGAAAAAGGAAACAUGCAUUGUUUAUAAUUGUAGGCUUAUAAUAUAAUAUAGUAUAUAUAAACAGCUUAUUGCACAAUUUUUUUUUCUCCUUUUGUUUCCAUAUUAAAUUGAUGGUACCAGCUUUAAAAUAUGGAAUUCCUAGCUAUCAAAGAGUAUUUUUUGUUCCCUGCUUUUGCCGCGUUGUUCUUUUCUUGAGUUGCUCUGCCGCUUUGUUCUUUUCAUGAGCUGUUGUUCUUUGUCUCUCUCACAUGCAAAUUUCUCAUCAAGUAUAGGUAAUCAAUUAAUCUUUUUUGCCUUUUGCUUUAUAUUUUAGGUAAAUUUUCUUUAUUUAUUUCAUUGUUUAAUUUUAUUUUUAUUUUUUUAUAAUUAGUUAUUAAAAAUAGUAGGGUUUAUGAUAAUUUAUGGGUUUUGAUAUAAAUAUGUUCAAAAUAAAUGUUUAAAUCUACUAAUUUAAUCAAUUAAAUAUUUCUUUUCUUAUUAUAAAAGAAUAAAUUAAUAUUCAUGCAAAACCACUAUUUUUGACAUCUCUUGCAUUGGCAGAGUAUUUUAUUGAAAUUUAAUAUUUUCAUAUGACUUGUUUGUAAGUAAAAUAUCAAGUAGAAAGCAUGUUUUUCAAGAAUUGUUUCUCUUACACAUACACUAGGCAUUGCUCCUCAAUUAAAUAUCUAGAAAUAAUUAAGUAUAAUUUAAUCAACAAACUUAUUAUAUGUAUAUAGAUAUGAAUUGAAAUAGGUUUUGAUUUUGAUGAAUUGAUGUGUAUUUUUCUAUGAAUUUCAUAUGAAAGAUUUAGAAUUAUUGUGUAACUCAACUGAUUUUUAUUUAACAGUGAAUUAUUAUAUAGUUGUGUUAAUUAUUAUGUAGACACUAAUGAUGAUAAAAAAAUUCCAGCAGGUUCAUAUUAAAUUAACAUGUCACUAGACAAGUAUUUCAAGCAUAAAUCCCUUGAGGAUGAAGAAUUAGUAUAUAUGCUUUGAAUUGAUUUCUAAUAGAUAUCUAUAUAAUUUAGUAUUUAUUAAUAAUUUGCCCUCUCAUUGAAAAAACUCUGGCUCCGCCACUGGUGGUGCCAACAACUAUUUUCUUUGAAAUCUUUUCUGGAGAAGAAAAUCAAAUGUCCAUUUACUUAUACAUGCUUGUUAGUCAAUCCUUGAAAAUAUGCUUGUAGUUUUUUUCUUGUCUAGUUUGAAGAAGAUAAUGGAACAGAUGAAUCAAACAAUGUGCAAACGGAAAAUCACUGUACCCUCUGUGAACUUUAAACAUAAUAUCAAAAGUGAAUGUGCAAAUAUUACAGGUUGCAGGCAUGUUUAUUUUGAACAUAUUGCAAUUAUCGUUGUUGAUUUCUUCUUCCUUAUUCGUAUCCGACCUUCCAGAAUCACACCCAAGACCGCUGUUGUUAUCCUGGGUUGCUGCUUUACUGCCUUCAAUUCCUCAGCUGUUGUUUUGCUGUUUGAUGUUAUCACAGCUUUUGCACCAGUAUGUAUUAUCUUUGGAUUUUACUCAAUCUGGUAAGGUUAUGAUCAGUUGCUAUAUUUGGUAUCAGGUUUGGUCAUUUGUAUAUAAAUUAUAUUUGCUAUGCAUAUAAAGAUUCAAUUCCUAAUAUUUGUAUCAAGAUAUUAAUAACCAACAAGUAUGUCGACUUAUAAAUACACAAUUAGCUAGCUUCUUUUUCUUCUUUGAGAUAAGUGAAGAAACUUCAUUAAUAGCAUAACAUCGGCAAAUCAAAGUAAGUUAUUUACACGUUUUUUUUUUUUCUAGUUUGUUUUUGGUUUUUAAUUUUUUUAAUGAAAUCUUUAAUUUUCCUUCGAACUUCAAUAUCUAAUGUAAUUAAGCUCUUGAUAUGACCAAAUUAACUCUUAUAAAUUGCAAUUCAAUUCCUAAACUUUAAUUUUUUUCAAUUAAAAUCUAAAUUUCCUUAAAAAAUUAUUUUUUUCUUGUAAUUAAAACCUCUAUAAAUUCAAUUAAACCUUCAACUAAAUCUAAUUGAGUCCUUAAACAUCCAAUUUUAAAUUUCUCUUUCUCAAAUUGAAUUUUCUUUGCCGAUAAGGUCUUCAUCAAUUAAAAAUAUAUGGUAAAUUUCAAUCUUUGUAUUUUUUUUUUUAUCUUUCUCAACUUAGUUUUGGCUAUUUUUGGGGCGUUUUGAUAUACUUUUCCCACUUAUAUAUUUUUUUUCGUUUUCUUACAAUAAUUUUUAAAUUUUUUUGUAUUUUUUCUCUUUUUUUUCUUUUUGUGUGGGGACCCAAUAAAAUAGGUAAAAACAAAGAUAUUAAUAAACCAACAAUGCAUUAAAGUAUGUCGACUUCUCAAAAAAAUAAAAGUAAAAAACCCUUAUAAAUACACAAUUAGCUAGUUUUUUUUCUUUUAGAUAAAUGAAGAAACUUUAUUAAUAGCAUAACAUUGGCAAAUCAAAGCUAGCAAGGUGAAGAAUUAAUGGGUACAAAUGCCAAAAAGCAUGGGAAAAGAAAACAUGGCAAUAGUAAGUAACCUAAACCAACGAAGGACACGUAAAUAAUUACCAUGGAUAAAUUAAGUAGCUAUGCCUUCAAACUAAUAGAAGGAUAAACGAUUACUCACUGACGUAGCGGAAGCUUCUGUGGAAAUAGGUUGCUACCUGUUUCCGGGAACAAAGUGUUCGAAUCCACGAACCAAGAAAGUUUCACUCGAAUCUACGAGUUUAGCACUUAUAAUUCUCAAAGAGAAAGUUUUGUAUUAAAUUCAAAAGUGCCUUACAAUAAAAAGUGGCAGCCUUUAUAUAGGCUGCAAGUUUUAAUUCGACUAGGACUAUAAUUGUUUAGGAAAGAAAUAACUGGAAUAAAGAAAACAAAUACUAUAGCUAGGAAAGUAAAUAAUUCCUGAUGUUACGACAUUAAUGAGGACUCCUAACUAAGGUGGUAAUCUGCUAGAAGAAUACUCCAAUGAUAACUGCAAUUCCUGAUUUCUCUGCAUUUAUAUUAUGCCCUGCAAUCUGCUGUCUCCUGCGAUAUGCUCUUCCUCUCCUUUUAUAGACUGUUCUACAUCAGUCUCCCUUGCAUAAAAAGAACUCGACCCCGAGUGAGGUAAAUGAGAAGGUGCCAUAUCCGGAGGAUGAUACUCGUACAAAUCUGCCACGUUGAAAGUAGGGGAAAUGGCCAUUUCUGCUGGAAGGUUGACAACAUAGGCGUUGUCAUUAAUCUUCUGAAGGAUCUGGAAAGGUCCAUACUUCUUGUCCUGCAGCUUGUUGUAUCUUCCUACAGGUAGGCGUCCUUUGCGCAAAUAGACCAUCACAAGGUCUCCUUCUUGAAAGGUUUGGACCCUCCGUUUUUUAUCUGCUGCAGCUUUGUACUUGGCAUUAGAAGCCUCUAAGUUUUGUCGCACUUCUUCUUGAAUGGACUUUAUACGGUCUGCCAUAUGUUCUGCUGCAAUGCUUAAACCUGGAAGUUUUGGUAGAGGAACUAAGUCCAACGCAUGGCGUGGUGGAGAACAAUAAACAAUCUGAAAGGGUGUUUUUCCAGUGGACCGGUUGAGCAUACUGUUAUAAGCAAACUCAGCUUGUGCCAACAUAACAUCCCAUUGUUUUGGUUUUGUUCCAGAGAGGCAGCGAAUCAGAUUCCCAAGAGUGCGGUUUACUACCUCUGUCUGGCCAUCAGACUGAGGAUGGCUGGUACUGCUAAAAUUUAGAGACGUGUCAAACCGUCGCCAUAACGUUCGCCAAAAAUGACUCAAGAACUUUGUGUCUCUGUCUGAAGUGAUGGACUUGGGAACCCCAUGCAGACGCACCACCUCCUUGAAAAAUAAAUUUGCUACGUGCACGGCAUCGGCAGUCUUCUUACAAGCAAUAAAAUGAGCCAUCUUGGAAUACCUGUCGACCACCACAAACACUGAAUCAUAUCCGCGUUGGGUUCGCGGUAGGCCUAAGAUAAAAUCCAUCGAAAGAUCCUCCCAAGGUGCUGCUGGGAUAGGCAAUGGCAUAUACAAACCGGUAUUUUGGGACUGUCCCUUAGCAGCCUGACAUAUGGGACACCGUUUAACAUAGUUGCCGAUGUCUCUUUUUAAUUGGGGCCAAUAAUAUCUCUCUUCAGCAAGGGCUAUGGUUUUGUCACGCCCCAAGUGUCCCCCCAAACCUCCACUGUGCAAGUCAUGAAUUAUUUGAGCUCGUAGUGAGCUCCUGGGUAUGCAUAAUCGUUACCAUGGAAUAAGUAGUCUUCCUGGAUAUGCAGGUUCUCUACAGGAAGCCCGGCUUGGCACUUUGCCCAACUAGCUUGAAAAUCUUCAUCUCCAGCGUACAGUUCUUUGAGGCAAUCAAACCCAAUGACUUCAUUUUGGAGAGUGACCAGUAGCAAUGUCCUUCGGCUGAGAGCAUCAGCUGCUCGGUUUAGUCGUCCAGCCUUAUGUUGCAGUGUGAAUGUGAAGCGUUGAAUGAAGGAAAUCCAACGGGCAUGCAUUCUGUUAACACUAUUCUGACUGUGAAGAAACCUUAGUGCCUGAUGGUCGCUGAAUAAAACAAAGUCGCGGGCUACUAGGUAGUGCUCCCAAACUUUUAAGGCUCGAAAGACAGCAUAUAAUUCCAGCUCAUAGGUGGACCACUUCUAGCGAGCUUCACUGAGUUUUUCACUGUAGAAAGCGACAGGUUGCCUUCUUGAGACAACACACCAAUACCCACGAUGGAGGCAUCACACUCUACUUGAAAUAAUUUAUCAAAAUUUGGGAGUGCCAGUGCUGGGGCCGAUGAAAGUUUUUCUUUGAUAAGUUUGAAGCUCUGCUCUGCUGCGUCUCCCAAUAGAAUUUCCCUUCUUCAUGCACUCAGUAAUGGGUGCGACUAUUCGGCUAAAAUCUCUAACAAAUCGUCUGUAAAACGUUGCUAGUCCAUGAAAACUACGGACCUCGCCUACUGUUCGCGGAGUCGGCCAAUCACGAAUGGCGCCAAUCUUUUCUUCAUCCACUUUAAUUCCGUCAGCACUUAUUAUAAACCUCAAGAAUAGCAAGCUACUGGUCAUAAAACUGCACUUUUUCAAAUUAACGUACAACUUAUUUUGUUGCAGAAUUUUGAGUACUUCUCUCAAAUGCUCAACAUGGUCAGCUUGGGUUUGGCUGUAGAUUAAUAUAUCAUCGAAGUAUACCACCACAAAUUUUCCCGUGAUCGGCUUCAAUACCUGGUUCAUAAACCGCAUGAAAGUACUGGGUGCAUUGGUUAACCCGAAUGGCAUUACUAGCCACUCAUAUAAGCCCUCCUUUGUUUUAAAAGCAGUCUUCCACUCGUCUCCUGGUCUGAUCCGAAUCUGAUGGUACCCGCUUCGCAAAUCGAGUUUUGAAAAGACCUUGGACCCGGACAACAUGUCCAACAUAUCUUCUAAACGAGGGAUAGGGAAUCUGUAUUUAAUUGUGAUCUUGUUGAUUGCUCUGCUGUCGAUACACAUGCGCCAACUACCAUCCUUCUUUGGCACUAACAAAGCUGGUACUGCACAAGGGCUCAUGCUCUCCUGCACUAAGCCCUUCUCGAUAGUUCUUCUACCUGUGCUUGCAGAGUCUGACUUUCUUUAGGAUUCAUCCGGUAGUGGGGACGAUUUGGCAAACUCGCUCCUGGCGUGAAAUCGAUCUGAUGUUGUAUGUCUCGUACAGGAGGUAAUCCAUUAGGUAGGUCUAACGGCAUCACCUCCUGAAAUUCCUCCAGCAAUGGUAGUAGUGUGGGUGGAAUGUCAACAGAAUCCCUGCCAACUUCUCCUCUUAAUACUACAAAAAAAUCUCUCUGGCCGCCUUAGUCUCCUCCAUGAAUUUGCCCCCAUCCACUAGCAAUACUGGCUUUCCUUGUGGCUUCGGUUUGAUGCUGGAAAAAUCUUCUUUGAUAGGACCAGAACGACCUUCAGGCCCCCCUUUACGAAGACGUAAACAUUGUCACGACCCCUGUAAGUGGCAUCUACAUCAUACUGCCAGGGACGUCCAAGUAUUACAUGGCAAGCAUCCAUUUCCACUACGUCACAUGUAACCUCAUCUGCAUAAUUCUUCCCAAUUGAGAAUUUAAUGUGGCAGACUUCAGUCACUUUGACUUCAGCGCCACGUUUGAUCCAGCCUAUUUUAUACGGUGCAGGAUGCUUCCUAGUUUGCAAUCCCAGUUUAGUAACCAUUGCUUUUGACACUAUAUUCUCGCUACUGCCACUGUCAAUGAUAAUAUCACAGACCCUUUUGUUCACAGUGCACCUAGUUCUGAAUAUAUUAUGCCGCUGGGAGGGUUCUUCUCGUUUUGGUGUCAACAGUAGUCGUUGAACUACAAGAGACCGUGACAAUAGCUCUCCCUCGUCACCCCCUGUUACUUCUUCCUCCUCAUACGUAUAGGCUGCUCCGUUUUCAUCUUUCUCAGUGUCGAAGGGGUACUCUUCUUCUGGCUCUAUUAGGUGCACAUUACUCCUUCUUGGGCACUGGUUGGAACGGUGUCCUGGCUGUCCACAUCUAUAACAUUUAUCCGAACUGGGACGGGCAUAAGGAUUCCUGGGCGUUACCUCGGGUGGAAUGGUGUUAGCAGACUUUGUUGGUGCUCCACUGCUGCUUGUUCCUCGUACAAUGUUAGAGAAGGAGUGUUGAGUUGUUGAAGUCAGUGGGGUCAUUGGAGUCUUCCCUUUAUUGCUGGUUGCUCUAUUAUGAUCGAAUGGAUUCCUGGCCCCACCCAUUGCUUUUGAUUUGUCUAAUUGGGUCUCUGCUUUGAUAGCCAGUGCCACGGCUUCUGUUAGGGUGUAAAUUGUUUGCAUUGCCACACGAUCCUGUAUGGCCCAACGCAGACCUCCCACAAACCUGGCAACUUGUUGUGCCUCUGUUUCCAGCAGGUUAUUUCGUGAUGAUAGCCUAUGAAAUUCUUCUAGGAAAGCUUCCACGGUUCUAGUUCCUUGCCUACAUUCCUGAUAUUGUUUAAACAAAAUUUGCUCGUAGUCUGGUGGUAGAUAACGAGAACGUAACAAUCGUUUCAUUUUAUUCCAUGUUUGAACCAUCCCCUUCCCUUGUCGCAGUCGGGUGCUUUGUAGUUGCUCCCACCAGGCAGAAGCUCCCCCCAAGAGUCUAUAUGCGACUAACUUCACCUUUUUAUCUUCAGGAAUGUCCAUGUAAUCGAAGAACCUCUCAACUAGUACCAGCCAAUCAAGGAACCCUUCAAUCUGCAGUUGUCCGUUAAAACUGGGUAGAUCCAUCUUCAUUCGAAACAUCUGUCGGUCUAGUUCCCUUUGAUACCCUCUCCGGUUUCCCCGGAGUAUAGCUUCAGCUUCUUCCUCAUCCUCACUUAGGUUGUCCUCAUAGAUUGGUUGCCUUCGUAGGAUUCCUGGAGGGCGUUCACUAGUUGCAGCCCUUUCUCGGUGAUGUUGACGAACUGGAGAGUUGUUGAUCCCCUGAUUAUUCCCUGUUGUCAGCCUAGCAAGGGCUGUUUGGAUAUCACGUAGGGUUUGUUGUGUCUCAUGCUGGAAAAUUCUGAAUUCAGCUCCUGUAACCAAAUUAUCCUCGCGGUCACCGCCGCCAAGGUUUUCGCUUUCGUUGCGUAGGUUUGCCAUCUGACAGGAUUAUGCCUGCUCUGAUACCAACUGACGUAGCGGAAGCUUCUGUGGAAAUAGGUUGCUACCUGUUUCCGGGAACAAAGUGUUCGAAUCCACGAACCAAGAAAGUUUCACUCGAAUCCACGAGUUUAGCACUUAUAAUUCUCAAAGAGAAAGUUUUGUAUUAAAUUCAAAAAUGCCUUACAAUAAAACGUGGCAGCCUUUAUAUAGGCUGCAAGUUUUAAUUCGACUAGGACUAUAAUUGUUUAGGAAAGAAAUAACUGGAAUAAAGAAAACAAAUACUACAGCUAGGAAAGUAAAUAAUUCCUGAUGUUACGACAUUAAUGAGGACUCCUAACUAAGGUGGUAAUCUGCUAGAAGAAUACUCCAAUGAUAACUGCAAUUCCUGAUUUCUCUGCAUUUAUAUUAUGCCCUGCAAUCUGCUGUCUCCUGCGAUAUGCUCUUCCUCUCCUUUUAUAGACUGUUCUACAUCACUCACUCAUCAUACGAUUAGGUCAAGUCACCUCUCCUAACUCCUCCCCCCAUCAAACUUCGUUGCUGCAGGUUCACCGAUUUUGCAAGUACCAUCUUUGGGGUCAUAUUUGCAUGGAGCCCUAGGAGCAGUUAGGUAAGAACAUGAUAACAAAAUAAUGGUAACAAGGAGUAUUAUUGUCAAGUAUCGAGUCUUUCCUUGAGACCCCAUUUUUUACACGAAAGAAACCUGAGAUUUUUAGGGAAUCAAAUGUAUGUGUAGAGAGCGAGCUAGUCUGCGAGAUGGGUGAUUGUAGAGAUGGAGAGGGUUAGCUAGCUAAUAUAUGAGACACGAUAUGUUGAAUUGGAAAAGUAUUCAGCAUUUAAAUUGAUUUCAAAAACUAUUCCAAUAUGUUGAAUUGGAAAACUAUACUUUCCUCGAAAUUGUUUCUUAUUAUUUUCUUCGAAGCAGUUGUGACUUGUGACAUAGGUUGAAAUUAACAUUAAACGGGAGUAAUGUGGAUCAUGUCCAGGUUGUUUUAGUAGUCAAAUAAAUAAAAUUUCUAUGAUAUUUGUGUUUUUAAUCUUCUGGCGUGGCCCUUUAGAAACAAACAGUCAAAACCUGUUUAAGUGCCUGUUUUGUUCAAGCAACUUGUACUGUAAAUAAAUGUUAUGCAAAAACUAAGCACUCUCAACUUUUACUUGAUCUUUUUUUUUUUUCUGCGGUAUGAUGGGAUUGAAGAUUACACAAUAUUGCCCUACUCUAAUAUAUAUAUUUAUCUAGUAAUGCAAAAAUAAACAUUGAAAUAAGCUCUUCAGUUGAUUUUAUAAACUGCAAAUUUGAGGUCUUGGGCUCUUCGCAGCCGAGAAAAAGUCAUUCAUGGCUGAGGUAAAAAUAAUUUCUUCUUCUUUUGAUUUUUUUAUGAAUGAAAGAUUAUAUUGGAAAGAAAAAAACAGGAAACAAGCCAUACUAUACAAAUUAACUGAACUUCCACCAGCAACAAAAUUCACUAAAAAAAGAUUGUUUUGACAUUAUUAAAGAGUAACGGUGACGAAACAUAUAUUCCUCUUAUCUCAAGCCCUUAACAUUUACUUCUAACAUUAUUAAAGAGUAAUGUCAUGAUUUGAAGGAGCCAAAUUAUUCAGCGCGUAGACAUUAAUUUUCCCAAUGAGAAAAUAUUAUUGUCUUAUCAACUUUAAAUAUUGCAUGCAUAUGCAAGUGGUUGAUGUAAAAUAAGUGCUGGAAAUUUGAUACAUGAAGGAUAUGGUCACAGAGUCGUUCUUCCAGCGACCUAGAAAAAUAUUUCCAAAAUCCAUAUACCUGAGAAACUAUCGUAAAAUAUAAGACAUCAAAACAGUACAAAAGAUCCUGAGUAAAAAUUGACAAAAGAUAAUUAAAAGACUGAUUGGAUUGAAAAUUAAAAAAGCAUGGCGAAAAUAAGAAGGUGGAAAAAUACUUUUGAAAUAAUAAAAAAGCAUUAAUGGAAGAGAGGUUUGAUUUAUUCGUUGUGGAAUUUAAGAGUCGGUCUUGACUUGGAAAAUGAAUGAUGAUUCGGAUACAACAUGAACACGCGUGUCUUGACUUUGAAAAUGAAUGGUUAUUACUUGUGAGCACGCAAAACUGUGACUUUUUCGUCCAUUUGCCGAGUCCAAUGAAUUAAAAUAACAAAUGAGUAAAAUGAUCGGAUCCUUAGUUACUAUUUGUUUGCUGGAAAAUAGUAUUUUUUUUUUUUAAAUGAAUUUUAAAAAAGUAUUUUCGAUGUUUGAUAGUGUAAUAAAAAAUAAGUUGGAAAACACUUUCCUGUUUGGUUAUAUCAUUUAAAAUGAGCUGGAAAAUAUCUUAUUAAUAUUUUAUUUUUCUUAAGUUUAUUAAAAUAAUGAGGAACAAAUCUUACAAAUUAAAAAGUUGAAUGGGAAUGAAAUUGAAAAAAUAAUAUAAUUUCAUAAAUUAUCUUAAAUAAAAUAAAUAAUAAUCAAAAUAAUAGAGAUCAAAUCUAAAAAAUUAAAAAAUUAAAAAUGAAAGAUGAAGAAAUUAAAAUAAUAAUAAUCAACAUUUCAUAAAUUAUUUCAAAUAAAAUAAGUAACAAUCAAAAGAAUGAGGACCAAAUUUGAUAGAUAAAAAAUUUCAAUAAAAAAAUGAUAAGGAAAAAGCAAAUAGCAAUUAUAAAAAUAAGGACCAAAGUUAAUAUAAAAAUAAAAUUUUAAGAGAUGAAAUUGAAAAAUAAAUAUUCAAAACAAAAUAUAUAUAGCAAUCAAAAUUUGAUCGAAAGUGUUUUCCUUUGAUCGAAAAGUGUUUUCCGUUGACCCACUUUCCUAAUGACAAACAAACACAGAAAAGUUUGGAAAAUGAUUUUCCGGAAACUACUUUUCGGGAAACAAACAUGGCCUUAGUGUCGCACAUGAAACAUGUUGCGACGGGCAAUCUCUUAGUAUCUAGAAAUCCAAAAAUAAAAAGGAUAAGAAAUUCUUGUUUUUUAUAUGUUUUUCUAAUAUUUUUAAAAAAUUUAGGUAUUUUAAUAUCAAAUUUGUAUCUUUACAGUAUAAAAAUAAAACCAAUAUCAAUCAAAAUUGGUAUAAAAAUAUGAGAGAAAAUCACAAAUUAUUUUAAAGGAUUUUUAGAAUUUUUUGUUUUUAUUUUCAAAUAAUAUUAUAUUAUAUUAUAAUAUUUUGAGAUGCACUCAACCCAAUUAUAUAGGCAGAGAACAUCUUAUCUGAGAUGAGAUUAGCCCAAAAUAAAUUGGGUCAAAGUCGGCCAAAAAGAGUUGGGCCAACACCAGCCUAAAAUAGAGGUUGGGUUGAUGUUGGCCCAACAAAACUUCUUUUCUAUUUAUGGGAUUGGACCGAACUUGACCCAACCAUUUUGGUCUGGAUCAGAACUAGUCCGACCUAGUAAACAAUGAAGAGAUUCUCCAAUGUUCUGCAAGUGAAUAGUAGAGAGUGAAUUGAAGAAUAGUAGAAUAGUAGAGGGUGACUGAAGGAGAAGAAGAAAAAGGAGAAGGAGGAGAGAUUGACCUGGCGGUGGCUUCACGGUGGUGCUAAUGAUGGUGACGAGGAAAGCAGGCGAUAGUGGGGAGAAAAAACAAUGGUUGCUGUUGUGGUUUUUUCUUCUCUGUACAGGGGCAUGAAAUUCCUCUUUCCUUUUUUUUUUAUCUUUUUUUGUUCUCUCUCAUUAUCUUCUCUCGUUCUUGUCUCUCUUGUUCUUUCUUUUUUUCUAUGUUUUUUUGUUUUUAUUUCUCCUUUUUUCUUCCUUUGUUCUCCCCUGUUUCUUUUUGUUUCUCUUCUGUUUUUUGCUCUCUUACCUCCCUUUUUCAUCUCUUUAUCUCUCUGUUUUUGUCUCUCGUCCCCUAGUAUUUAUAAGAGGGAAAGAGAGGAGAGAGAGCUAUUACACAUGUCCAGUCAUGGUGUAGGGGUAUGGUGGUUGGGGCAGUCUGUGCAGCCAUCCCAAAGCCAACCGCAGGGCUUGUCCCCUCUACCUCUUUCAUCAUGUUGAUAGGCCAUGAAGGGGUGUGGGUGGUGUCGUGGUUUUUGGGAAAAGGGGAGGGAGAGAGUGAGAGAUAGACGCUGCAAAUGAAUGGAAGAAAAACCUUCUUCCCCUGCCUUUAUGCGUUUGGGGAAGAAGAAGAUACACAGUGCUGUUUAACACAACACCGUUUUAAGCUUCGCUUUUUUAUGUUUGAACAGUGAAUGAAAUGGGGUCAAUUCAUUUAAAUUAAAAUAGCGCCCAAAAAAUGUUAAUUUUUAAAUCAAUCUUUAAUUAUUUUUUUUUAUCCAAUCAAGUCCUCAAUUGCAAUUUUGAUUUUAAGAAUAAAUUUAAUUUCAUCCCUAUCAAAUUCAAAUGCCAGCCCUAAUGUUGGAUGUCUUUUUCACUUUAGUCCUUAGUUUUGAAUUUAUGCAUUUUGACCCUUAAUUGAUCAACAAACUUUCAAUUUUUUCAAUUUAGCCCCUGAUUUGACCAAAUUAACUCUUAAAAAUUAUAAUUUAACCCCAUACUUUAAUUUUUUUUCCAAUUAAAGUCAAAAUUGACUUAAAAAUGAAUUCUUCUUGCAAUCAAACCCUUUACAAACCCAAUUAAUCUUUCAACAAAAUCUAAUUGAGUCCUUAAACAUCUAAUUUUGGAUUUUUCUUCAUCAAAUUGAAUUUUCUUUUUCAAUAUAGCAUUUAACAAUAAAAAAUAUAUUGUAAAAUUUCAAUCUUUGUAUUUUUGAACUUUCUCAACCAAUCUUUAGCCAUUUUCUGGGCGCCCUUAUAUCUUCUUCUCACUACUAUCUAUAUUUUGGUUUUCUUCUAAUAUAUAUAUUUUUUAUUUUUCUCUCUUUUUAUGUGGGAACCCAAAAAUAAAUAAUAACAAGUAGUUUGUAGUGUAUAUAGAUAAAUGCUAGAGUAAAAUGGAAUUGUUGUAACCCAUUUUUGGGUCCCCAUGAAAAAUAAAAUAAAUAGCCAAAAGAGGUUAGAAAAAUAACAGGAGGCAGAAACGCUCGGAAAAUAGUCAGAAAAUUGGUCAAGGAAUUUAAAAAUACAAGGAUUGAAUUUUUGACAGUAUAUUCUUGGAGGAUGAAAGCCCUAUUGAGAAGGAAAAUUUGAAUUUUGAGGAGAAAAGCCCAAAUUUGGAUUUUAUUGGACUUAAUGGAUUUUUAUGGACUUAAUUGGAUUUUUAUUUGAAUUUAUAGAAGAUUUGAUUGCGAAAAAAAUUGAUUUUUUAAGUCAAUUUGGGCUUUAAUUGGAGAAAUUUAAGUUCUGGGGCCAAAAUAUAUUUUUUAGGAAUUUAUUGGGUCAAAUCAGGGGCUCAAUUGCAUAAAUAUUGAAGUUUAAGGGCCAAUUAGGGACUUAAUUGUGAAAAUCCGAAACCAGGGACCAAUUUGGAGAAGGCGCAAAGAUAGAGGGGGCUGUUUGGAAUUGUUUCAGGGGCUUAAUUGAAGAAAUUGGAAGUUUAUUGAUCAAUUAGGGGCUCAAUUGCAUAAAUCAGAGGCCAAGGACCAAAGUGAAAAAGGCGGCCAACAAGAAGGGCGGGGACCGAAUUUGGAGGACUGAUUUGAAGUUUGGCCAUUUAAAUGAAACGGCGCGUUUUAUUCAAAACGACGCCGUUUCAUAUACAAAAAAAAAAAAAAGGAAAGCAGAACGGUGUCGUUUUGAACGACACUGUUCAUCAUCUCCUUCCCCCCGUUUUAGCAGAACAGAAGACAAAAAUUUUGAAAAAAAACUCCCGCGUCUCUCUCUCUCGCCCCCACCACCACCAGAAAGAACCGACCAGCCAUGCGUGAUUGAAGGCGCACUAACCAUGGUCCCCCACCCGUGCUGCCCCUAUAAAUAAAGAAGAAAAACCGAAGAAAAGAAGGAGGAGAGACCCGAAGAGAGAAGGAGAGAGAACGACCCGAAGAGAGAGAGAAGAACAGAAACAAACCGAGAAGAAGGAAACCGAAACCAAAAAACCAAAACCAAACCGAGAACCGACAGCCACUGAGAAAAAAAAACGAAGGAGAAGGGAGGAAGAAGAAUUUUUCGCCACUGAAACAGCAGCAACGCCGCCCGGAGCCGCCGUCCACGAAGCCACGCCACCGUAGCCCCGCCAGCAAACCACCGUCUCCAGCCUCGCCAGGUAAGCUCUUCCCCCUGCAUUGUUUUUUUUUCUUCUCUUCGUCUUCUGUAAUUUUCGUCUCCUGCAUGCAGAAUUGUUCUGCAUGCAGGGGACGGGGGGGAAAUUAAUUCCCCCCGUAUGUUUUAUCUUCUGGGCCAGACCGGUUCUGGCCCAGAAACAUGUAUUGGGCCAGAAGGAUUCUGGCCCAACCCGGCGGUCUGGGCCGCGUCCGGCCCAGACCAAGUUGUUUUUUUUCCUGGGCCGAGAUCGGCCCAGUCACUGUGGGGCUGAGCCCGGCCCCUUAAUAAUUAAUAUAUAAUUAUAUUAUAAUAUUAUAUAUAUAUAUAUAUAUAUAUGUGUAUAUGUUAUAUAUAUAUAAAAUAUUUGUAAAAAAUCUAAAAAAAUCUAAAAAAAAUAUUGUUAUUUUCCUUUCAUGUAUAUAUAUUUUUAAGGGGGUUUGUAUUUUUUUUUAUAUACUGUGGAGGUAUAAAUUCAGUAUUUAAAAUAUCUGAUUUUCGUCGUAGCACCCGAAAUUUUCCAAAGAUAAUUUUUUUUUUUGCUUUCAAAAAUUUCUAAAAUUCCUAAAAAAUAUUGUGGAUUUUUCCGCAUUUUUUUUUUGACUUAAUAUUAGUUUGUAUUUUUAUUUUGUGGAGAUACAAAUUCAGUAUUAAAAAUACCUGAUUUCGUCAAAAAAAAAAUAUUGUUUUAAAAAAAAAAUAUUUUUCUUUCGUGUUGCAUACGGCCAAUACUCUAACAUGUUUUGAAUAUUCUUUUUUAUAAAACAAAUAUAUUGGAAGCUUCGAAAGUGUGUUUUCGCAUAGAUUUCUUAAACACAAAUUAUUUUCUUGCAUUUCUGGAUUUUACAACGUGUUUGUAAAAUUCCAAAGGGUAUUGGCCAAUAUUCAAAAAACUAUAAAAAUCUUAUUUUGGGAAAAGGAAUUUAUUUAUUAUUUACCGCUAAUGUUUGGAUAAAGAAAUCCUUAAAAGGAUGAAUAUCCAAAAUAUUAUCGGGAAUAAUAAAUCCGCACACAAUUCUUGAAAGAAGCCUUGAUUAUAAUCGAGGACAUUUCAAAAUUAAUUUAAUUUUUUUUUUUCUCCACGAUUUAUGAGUCGCAAACUUUUGAAAUACUAAGGGAAAAAUGAGCUUUCAAAGCACAUGGAAUCUCCUUAGAUUUCUAUCCAAAAUCAAUUGACGAGCCUAGAAAAUACCUACACCAUAGCAGUUAUAGAGCAAACCAAACACCAAGCAGCUUACCUUAGGUAGGGCGUACUAGGGGUGCUAAUACCUUCCCUUUACGCAACCAGUCCCUUGCCUUAGAAUCUCUGAAAGACCAGUUAGGGUUCCUAGUGACCAAAAUACUAGGUGGCGACUCCCAAAGAACCAAAUCAACAAAACAAAACAAAACGAAAGUCGCCAGUCGAAUGUCGCAAAACAAAUUUUAAAAUAAACCAAAUUUUAUUUGUUGAUUUUUUCGGGGGUGCGACAGGAAUGAUGGUAUCUAUCAUGUUAUGAUUUAUUUUCUAUUUUGUUAUCAAGAAUGAUUGAUAGGUUAGGGUGUGGGGGCAAUGCCUCCAUGAUACAGUAAAUGAGUAUUAUUAAAAAAACUAUAAUAUCUCUUAGGCAAUUAAACUUUUAGGCCGCAGUUAGACCCUUGAGCGGUUUAGAAUAUACUAUAAAUACACAUUAUGUAAUCCUAUUUGACAUAUAGUAAAAAUAAAAGCUCAUCACUCAUGCGGAUAUAAAAACAUUAUCAAACCACAUUAAAUCUUGUGUUCUUUCUAGUUUUUCUUCUUUUAUAAUAUUCAUCAAUAAUUGUUGUAGGUUUUUCACAAUAGAGGUCAUGUUUAAAGUAUAAGAAUGUGUGAAGGAACUACCAGUGAACUUUACAAGAACAAAAGGUGUAAUAUUUGAUAUAGAUCCUUCUUUAGCUUGCAUACACAAUUAAUUAGAAUUUGAAACUCUCGAGUCAUAGACAUUAUACUUAAGGAAUAUGCUUUAUAAAGCUAUAUUCAAAGUAUCUAUGUUUUUGAAAUUGAAGAGUUCAGUUUCUAACACUUAAAUCAAGAACAAUUUUUUUUAUAAGUAGAGAGGACUAAAGUAGGGCACUAUAUUCAUUAUCCUUAGCAUAAUUUGUUUUAUUUCUUUCAUUAUAAGAUUUUUUAGAUUUUAAGGAGUUUCGAAUGAGUCCAAUGGGCAAUCUAAUAAAAAUGGGUAUAACUUAUGUUCCGACUAUUGGGUUGAAUUGAAAUUUUCCUUAAAUGAUUAGUAAGACAACUUCAUUUGAAUUCAUGUACAUGCUAAAUUCAGUCUAAAAGUUACAGCUUAAUAUUGUUUUUAUUUUCCUUAUUGUUUUUGGAUUAUUCUUACUAUUUAGAUUAGGAUUUAAAAUUUAAUUAGGAUUUUACUAAUAAGCAUAUAUAAUUUUUUUUGUAUUUAAACUUUCUUGUAGGCUAUUUUUUAGGGAAGAAUUUAUUAUAUAAAGACUUUUAUAAAUAUAUUAAUUUUUUCUCUGCAACCUUUUCUAAGAGUUGUAACAUUAAGUUGUGAGCCCCCCAGUUUCUUUCUCUACAAUUUAAAACUGUCAAAUUUUACGGUUUGAGGAUCCUUAACACUAUACACCAUGUCAAUUGGUAUUAUAGAAGUCUACGGGAGGAGUCAAGUAGUAAAACGCUUUUUUUUAUUUUUAAUAUUCCACAAGAAUAAAAUCAUUAAUUAUGGAUAAUCAAUUAUCUAUAUUAUAAAAUUAUUAAUAUUUGUUAAAUAAUCAUUUCAAUCUAAAAAUAUAAAAAUAGUUUUCUAUUAAUUUUUUAGCAGACUUCUUCAAGUAAAAAUUUACAUAUCUUAUGGAUAUGUAUCUUAUAUUUAAUUUUUAAUUAAAUUAGAGAGAAUAAGGGCUAUCACUAUCUUGCUAAUAAUUUUUAAUCUAAUUAAAAAGAACAAGAGUGAUACAAAAUCUGAUUUGACCCAAAAUGUAAAAUCCAUAUAUAUUUUUUUUAAUUCCAAUGAUAAAAUAGUUCAAUCUAUCUCGCGGACCUCUCUCGUAAGAGGGGAUGUGUAGCCAUAUGUUUUAAAGGUAUGGGGGAAAAAGCAUUUUUUGCGUUUAAUUUCCUCUCCUACUACUCCUAUUUCUAUGCAUAGGCAUUCUGGGAUGCCCCAAACCGAAAUACAAAUCAAAUAUACGUGUUGGGUAUCUGCAAAAUGUUUAAAGAUUCAAUUCCUAAAUAUUUGUAUGCAGAUAUUAAUAACCAACCAUGCAUUGAAGUAUAAACCCUUCAUUAAUAGCAUGACUUCUCAAAAGACUAAAAGUGAAAAAACCCUUAUAAAUACACAAUUAGCUAGCUUUUUUUUUCUUUUAGACAAGUGAAGAAACUUUAUUAAUAGCAUAACAUUGGCAAAUCAAAGCAAGGGGAAGAAUUAAUGGGUACAAAUGCCAAAAAGCAUGGGGAAAGAAAACAUGGCAAUAGCUAGGAAGUAACCUAAACUAACCAGCGAAGGAAGGAGGACACAUAAAUAAUGACCAUGGAUAAAUUAAGCCUUCUUGGCUAAUACAAGGAUAAACGAUUACUGAUCAUUCAUCAUACGAUGGGAGCUGCAGCUGGUUCACCGAUGCGGCACAUACCAUCUAUGGGGUCAUAUAUGCAUGGAGCUGCUGGCCUCGCUAUCACAGUAAGGUUAGAGCAUGAUAGCAAAAUAAUGGUAACGAUUAGGAGUAGUAUUAUUGUCAAGUAUCGAGCCUUUCCUCGAGACCCCAUUCUUGACACGAAAGAAAGCUGAGACUCUUAGGGAAUCAAAUGUAUGUCUUGGUACGUAUGUGUAGAGAGCGAGCUAGUCUGCGAGACGGAGAGGGUUUGCUAGCUAGCUGAUAUAGGGGACACAAUGUGUGGAAUUGGAAAAGGUAUACGUACAGCAUUUAAAUUUGACUUUAGAGUUUCUUAUUAUUUUCUUCAAUAGAGUUAUGAUGACUUGUGGCAUAGGUUAAUUUGAAAUCAACAUUCAAAGGGAGUAAUUGUGGAUCAUGUCUAGCUAGGUUGUUUAAGUAGUCAAAUAAAUCAUAUUUUUAUUAUAUUUUUAUUUUUAAUUUUCUGGUUUGGCCCUGGCUCUUCAGAAACAAACAAUUCGGAAAACUAGAGAAGGUGAAACAUAAUAUAAAUAUGGCAUAUUAAUUUGUCGGUCGAUUGACUUUUUUUUAUUUUGUUAAUUUUAAUUACAAUAUAUUUUUUAAUUUUCUUGAGUUCUUUAUUUCCUUGACUUCUUCUUCCUUUUACUAAUUAAGAAAAAUCAACAACAUCUGGUCAAACAAUCUAAAUUGGUCAACGAAUGAAUUUUAUAAUGGGUUUAUAUAUUGUAUGCUUACAACAAUAAAAAUAUCAUGAGUGAACAUAAUAAUAACAUUAAGACUAUUAUUUAAACUACUUUGAACAACAAAGGUUCAAAGGAACGGAGUCAAUUUUAGAAUGGGCUAGGUUGAUGUUGGCGGCUAGCUAGGGUUUUAGGAAUGAAGAAGAUGAGAUGAUUUUUUUAUCAUUAUCAUUAUCAUUAUUAUCAUUAUUAUUAUUUUUACAGGUUCCCUCUCUCUUUUCAUUUUUUGUAGCAACUACAUGCGGUCGAAAGUCACUGAUAAUUACAUUAAUUACUAGUUAUAACUGAUUUUGAUAGAUAUAACAACAUUUAGAGUAAAAUGUCAUUGCAAAUACAUAUUGUAUUAUAAUGAAAUUUCAAACAUUUACAUUCAUAAUUAAUUAUAUAUUUGCACAUGCAUUUAUUUAAUUUAAAGGCACGUAGUUAUAUUAAUUUUAUAAGUAAUUAUGAUAGGAUUUUGUUGAUAGUGGAUCUAAAAGCAUUUGUCUCAUGUGCUGUUAAAUCUUAAUAACAUUUGAAACAAAAGAUCACUUAAUUUAUAUCCAAUAUCAGUCAAUAUAUACUACAAUAAAAUAAAUGUUCCUAUAAAUAACAAUCAUAAAAUACCAUUAUAAAGUAUAGUUAGUAUGUAUUUCAAACAAAUGAAAUUAAAAGUAAACAUAGUAAAAGCAUGUAAUCAUCACCAAACCAUGAAAACUAUAUGUAUAUAUAAACAAAACAAGAAAGUUUCGUUCUGUUUUCCCUCAUUUAUACUUCAUUAUUUAUUAUCCACGGUUUUGAUUAUUAACAAACAAUCAAAACCCAUCAAAUCAAACUUUAUUGUAAACAAAAUUAAACCCAUUUCUUUUAGCAAAGUCUAAUUCAAAAAAGUUUGGUUCUUUUACCCCUCAUUUAUACUCUAAGAAGAUUUAAAAAAAAUUAUCACUAAGAUAGUGUGUGGUUACUAUUCUAUAACAAAAGAAAUAAAAAAAACAAUGAGAACAUAAACAUUUUUUAUUGAAAAGAUAUAGAUAAAAGACAUAAUAAUAAAUUUAUCUCUAAAAAAUUUUAAACUUAAUUUUUAUAUUUUCAAAAUAAAAUGUAUAUAGAAAACAUGUUUUUAUAGAUAAUAUUUAUUAUUUUUAUCUUUAAAAUAUUCAUGUAAAAAAAAAUAAUUUCAAAAUUAUCCAAAGCAUAUAAAGAUAAAAGUGAUUUUUAUUAUAGUUUUAAAAUCUGAUUUGACACUCGACUUGAAACAAGACCAGAUCUUGGAUCGCGAGGGUCAAACUAAGUUAUUCUAACUAUUUUUAAAGGAUCAAAACAAUUUGAUCAUUUUGACCAAAAAAGUUUUUGUUUGAAAAAAAAGUCAAUAUGUUUUUAGCCAAAAAAUUUUAUAUAUUUAGGUGGACUUGGGUUUUUUAUCAUAUUAGAUCAGAUUAAUCAUUCCUCUAUUUUUUUAAAAACCUAAACUGGUCUCAACCUCGAGUUAGCCCGCCAGGUCAAUCCAAAUUUUAUAACUAGAGUCAUUAUACCAUUAUUAAUUUCAACACUUAAUAUAAAUUACAAUAAAAAAAUAUAAUUAUGUAUUUAAAUAUAUAAGUUUGAUAAUAAUAUAUGUUAAGAGUAAAAUACUUUUUUUCAUAUAUUAUUUUAUCUCAUUCAUUCACCAUGAAUCAAAUAUUAUACAAAAAUAUUUUAUAUUUCAUUACCAAAUAUAAUUUUAUCUUCAUCUUUUCUGUUCUAUCUUCUCUUUUUUAUUAUCUCAAUAUUCUUGCGUUCCAUGACAAUAUCUAUCAAUGAUAAUGAUAAAGAGAGAAUAAGAGGAGGACUUGAGGCACCAUUUGUUUCUACAACCCAGUUGUGUUUUUUUUAAAACAAAUUAAAAACAAUUCUUGAAAUGUUUUUUUAUAUUUUUAAAAUAUUAAUGUCAAAACUAAAAUUUAAAAAAUAAUAAUAUUAUUUUAAUAUAUUUUUAAAUAAAAAAAAACUUUGAAAAUCAAACAAUUUUCGUAAUACCAAACAUUAGCUCCGUAAGAGAAUUGUCCAUGGGGAUUUCAUUGAUUUUCAUUGUAUCACAAUCUCCCUUGGCCACAUGUACGCACGCCAGAGGCUAACCUCUUUUGGAGAUUGAGUAACUUGAGUUACGCCCGUUCUAUUUAUUUUUACAUUUUGAAAAUAUUUUAAAAAAAAAUUAAAAUUUUUUAUUUUUUUAAUUUAAAUUAUUAUUUUUUAUAUAUUUUAAUAUAAUAAUAUCAAAAAUAAUUUUUAAAAAAUAAAAAAUAUUAUUUUAAUAUAUUUUUAAAUAAAAAUUAUUUUAAAAAACAACACCAACCAAAACAUACAUGUGCUCUGUCUUCGCAGCUGCUUCGGCUAAUAGCAAAGAAGUGAAAGGACGUCGGAGGGAGCUGAUGUAAGAAAUGGAUUUUAUUUUCAAUAGGCCUUAUGGUUUCAGCGUUUGGACUUUGGUGAUUUUUCAUGGGCCUCCAUUGACUAAAUUUGGGCUCUUCUCCAAUUAGACCAAUGGUUUGAAUAACUGAAUCUAGAACUAGCAGGCCUUGGGCCUUGGCCACCAUAAUUUGUUGCACCAAGCAUGUCCCCUCAUUAUAUCAUCAUCUUUUCUAUUAAUAUUUUAAAAAAAAAAUUAUUAAGUAUUAAAUAAGUUAUUCAUAUCUUAAUUUAUACAUUUAAAAAAAUAUAUAACAUUUUUUUUUUCAUAUUUGAUCUCGAAAUGAUAGUAUGAUAAGCAAUCCAUUAAACUAUCUUAUUAUAUUAAGUUAGUGUGUUUUUGAAAGUUUUAAAAUACACUUGAGGAUAAAUAUGCAAUGCAAUAUAUUAUGUCCUUGUCAUGGAUUGAAUCGCUCCAUCUUCUCUAUGUAGUGUGUGUAUAUAUUUAUAAUUGUGUGUGUAAUUCAUUCGCAUGAAUUAUAUAAAAAGGAUAGAAAAUCAUAUUGCGUUUUGCAUCAAUUACAAAUUUAAAAUUAUUUAAUUAGUUAAUAUUUACAUGAAUUCUAUUGAAAUCUUAGAUUAAAAAAAAAACUGCAAUUUAUUUAUUAUUCUUAAAUCUAUUUUUCUAAACUACAACUAGGAUGGAAAGGAGGAAGCUAGCUCAAGCAUAACUUCAAUUUGUCAUCACCCACAACACCCAAAAAAUCUGGACACGAAUAAAAAUCUUUUGUGACGACUUGACCACCUUAGCAGCUUUCUGAAAACCUAUGAGGCACUGAUUAAAGAUAAGAAGCAGCACUACUCUUGUUAAUUAUUAAUUAUACUCUUCCAGACAUCCUUGUCAAUGUCAUGCUAGUCAUCGUCUUGCUCCUUAAUUUCCUUUCUGGCUGACACGUGACUUGUAGACCAACGACUGUGUGAAAGCCAACUGUCUUUAAAUCAUUGGCUAAAUUUCUUCUGCAAAGGAGGAAGUCUGCUAAUUAAGGACAGGCACUUAAAUUGAUGCCACGUAUAAUUCAUCAAAAAUCUAUUCCAUGUAUACAUAUCAUCGCUGUGCUUUGCUUCCCAUAUCUCACCAUUGAAGACUGUACUAAGCAUUCCAAGCUUUUCUUGUUGAUAUCAUCAUUCAUGGAUAACAGCGGAAUAAAUGAAAUGAUGUAGAAAGAAUAAAUAAAAAAUGAAUGGCGUACUGUAUUAUACAAUUUCACUUUCAACACCACAUUAUAGUUUUCUACUUCAUGACAUAACGAUCCUAUACGAUGAGUUUGCGUUGUGAAAUGUCCAUUUGACAAACACGAGAUCAGGCGUGCGCGUGCGCGUGCGUGUGUUGUAGCAUGAGAUGUUUUUGGAUGGGUUUUCACACAUAGCAAGGUUUAUCAAUUUCAUUUCAUUCCGUUUGAAAUUGUCAAAAACAUGUUAUAUUAAUUUUAAAAAAAAAAUGAAAUAAUUUUUAUUUCAUUUUAAAUUUCAGUCCGUUUCAGAUUUUUCGAUUAAAUUUCAGCCUAAAUAUUCCUGUUUCAUUUCACAUGUUCAGUUCCAGACUCAAAAAGUCAUUGAAUCAAAUUGAACACAGUUCAAUUUAAUUAAUUAAACCACCCAAGUAUAAAAGGUUCUUUUUAAAAUAAUAUUGAAAAUUAUUAGUAUUAUUUUAAUUAACAAUGAUAUUAAUUUUUUAAAAUUAAAUUUAUCACUAAUAUAUAUGGUUUAUUUUCAUAUUGUUUUUUUCAUGUCUAUACUUUGUAGGAAUUUGAACAAAACAAGAAAUGUUUUAGAUUUCAUUAGCUUUGAUAAUAUUGACCUAGUUUUAUAUUUAAAAUAUUCGUGUUAAAAUAUUUUACUUUCAUAAUAUUUUGAUAUUUUAUUUAAGUUGAAUUACUGUAAGUUAAAGAUCUAUUUAAUCAUGACUAUUUAGAAAAUAUUUUAAAUUUUAAAAUUAUAUUUAUUUGAUAUUAUGUUUGUAUUAUAUAAUUUAUAAUUAAUUUAUCUUAAAUUUGAAUUAUAUUUGUUGAAUUAUAUAUAUAUAUAUAAACAAAACAACUCUGAAACUAAAAUAUUCUAAAAUUAAAAUAUUUUAUUUUAAUUAAAAAAAUAAAACAUCUAUUAAAAUAGAAUUGAUAACCUUGACACAUAGUGACCGGAUUUUCCAUGAUCCUUUAAUAAUUUCUUUAUUUCUCUAUAUAUAUUUAUUUCAAGCCACCCGAAGUGGGGAAGUCCACUUCCAUAUUCAAUAAAUUAAAGGAUAUUUUGAUGCUCCCAAGAAGAUUCCUGCUAUCCUAUUUCUCCUUGUACAAGACAAAGAGGGAUCUAUUCAUGAGGACAAUUGCUUGAAUCUUCAACCACAUGAAAGUCCAAACUUUACGAAUUAAUCCUAUUUCUAUCAAUAUAUUUAAGAAGAAUCAAAUCAAUAAUUAAAAGAAUAAUAUAUAGUUUUUUAAUACAUGAAAUCGAUACAAAGAGUGUAUCGAUUUCAAGAUCCAAUAAAUAAAGAUCAAAUCAAUAAUUAAUUCCUUCUUCUCUUUAAAUCUUCCACGCAUGUUACAUCCAAGUCAAUUUUUUUAUUUGUGUUAUCAUUUUUUUCCACAACAGCCUGGACAAUUAAUGGACCUACACAAAUGUUUUAUUUUCCAAAUAUCAAACGAAGACUCGAAUUUAUUCAGCAACUAACCAGCCCUGAUCACUCCUAUUCGAUCUUUAACUUGAAACUAAAUUCCUUCUCUUAAUUAGAUGAGUUUAAGUUGGAUAUUAAAAUCCUUGAUUUGUUAGUAUUUUUCUUCAAAUACAAAAAUAUUGUUAUAUAUUAUUCAGAACUUUUUUUUUAUAAACAAUAUUAAAGAUACAUCCCCCAUCUGAUCAAUAUGAUAUAUUUAUCUUAAAUUUUGAACUCGAAAAAAUCACUAAAUGAAGCAUAAAAUGAGUAUAAUUAUAGGGGGUUUGGAUUUGUCAAUAUUGUGCAAGAAUCCUAGCUAGCAGAUAUUAUUGAAAUUAAUUAAGUUGGGCACCUCAAUUUGCAAUCUGUAGGCUGUGAAGUCCGGAUUGCCGGCGGGACCAUCUCAUCUUCUUUCCCGCAUCCACAUGCUCUUAUCUCAUUCAAAAUCUGUGGAUAUAACAAGUCAAAAGAUACAUUUUAUUAAGAUCAUGCUUAGCCUACCCUUGGAUUGUCCAUCUCUCUCUCUCUCUCUCUUUGUUAUUUAGUAAUAUUAUCAAUAUUUUUUCUUGAUACUAAUUAAAACAUAGUUUUUAGCUAAAUAUGAAAGAAACCAAGAAAAAAAAAAGUUCAAAGGGUUUACGUUUCACUUUUAACUGCUCAUCUCCAUUUGGUCUGAUUGAUCUAACUCAAGAUUUAUGUCUAUAGAAAUUAAUUAAAAUAACAGUUUUUAAAAAUAUUUUUUUAAUUUAAAAAUAUAUAAUUUUUUUAAAGUAGAACCAGGUAUGCUUCGGAGCAUAGUUUUGAAAUCUGGCCCAAUAAGUUAACCCGGGAUUCAGCCAAUCCAGAACUGAAACCGGACCGAGUUGAAAAAAAAACAGAGAAAGGCAAAACUUGAUAUGACCUAGCAAGACCUGUUAAUUUUUGUUUUUUAUUUUUUUAUUUUUUUACUAAAAUAAUUUUAUUUUAAUUUUUUUAAAAAAAAAUUAACCUAACUGACCGAAACCUAAAACUCAAGUUUUAAACUAGCCAAGUCAAGAAGACUUGAACCGGAACAAGUUUAAAUAUACUGCUUUGACAAGUUGACUUCCUACCCACCGUGAAACAAGUUUAAGAAGUAAUGUCUUUAAUUGUCACAACUCUUUCUCACAGUCAUCAUCUCCCAUUGCUUUCCCACUUCUUUAGCAACGCGUCUAUAUCUCUUCCUUCACGCCUUUGAUGUGUACAGCAAUAAUCACCACCACCUUAUUUAACACUCUCCCAACUUUCUUAGCCUCCAUAAAGAAUCUUUCUUUUUUCAAGAACACAAAAUGGACCGUAAUGGAAGAGAUGACAUCAAGGUCGAGAAUGGUUAUGAUUUGGAGGAUGAUCAUGAUCACAAAAAGAAGGACAGGAAAGAGGAACAACAAGAAGAGUUGUCAGUGGAAAGAAUAUUUGAGAACCAAGAAGUGCCAUCAUGGAGGAAUCAGCUGACACUGAGGGCCUUUGUGGUGAGCUUCGUGUUGAGCAUUUUGUUCAGCGUCAUAGUAAUGAAGCUCAAUCUUACAACUGGUAUCAUACCUUCCCUCAAUGUCUCUGCUGGCCUUCUGGGCUUCUUUUUUAUCAAGACCUGGACAAAGUUUCUUGAAAAGUCUGGCCUUUUGAAGCAACCCUUUACGAGGCAAGAGAACACAGUUAUCCAGACUUGUGUGGUUGCAUCCUCUGGCAUUGCCUUUAGUGGUAUACUUUCUGUACUUCUUACUGCCAUCAAUUUUCAUUUCAUCUCUCUUACUUUUUGGGUUGAGGAGAUAUGUAGGCUUCUUUGAUCAAGAUAUUAAAAUUUCUGUGCAUUAGGUUUUGUUUCUGUUCUUAAAGGUUUGAAACUUACAGUAGUUACUAAAACUCAAUGUCAAGAUUUGCUUCUUCUAAUUGCUAUAUUACAUGAUAAAGGCAACCCUUUUUCUCUCUCUGGAUCCCUUUUAUCUCAGUUGUGAGUAGAUUUACAUGAUCCUUGAAGACAAGAAUUAAUUCCUUACUGCCUAAAGUCUUCGGGAGGCAAAUCAAGAUUGAGGUUUUAUGACUAUCAGUUCUGCUAUUGCUUCAGCCACUUGUGAAGUUUUACUAAACUAAUCAACACUUGAACUUGCUGUUUGAGACAUGAACAAAUAUACUUUAGUAAAAAAGUUUAAUCAAAUGGUCUGUAAAUUUUCUUUACUAGCUUUUCCCUGUCUCAUGGUGUGUGAUAAUGGUGGAGGGGCUUUUUAUUUUUCUUAUGGUCCUCCACGAGGCAUUAGGUGUGGCUGGCAGAUGUCUCUAGACAGAUACUUUUUUGACAAUUCAAUUCAUAUGAGCUGGAUAUGGAUGAUUCGCUAACUUCAAAGUUAUACAAGUCUUAUAAGAAUAUUCUGAUUAGUGGAAAAGGAAGUCUUCCCCAUUAGGGAGAAAAGAAAAUAUGAAUAAUUAAUUUGUUUGUACUGUUAAUCUAGCUUUCAUCAUGUAAAAUUAAUUUGAAUACACUACAUCAUGUGAAAUUGUUGUAACGAUAGAAAUAAUUUGUGAUUAUGCUCAAGAUGAAAUUAAGCUUGUUGAUUUUUUGUAGUAAUAGUUUCCAUUCUAUAAUCUGUUUCUUGUUUCCUUACAAUAGGAGGCUUUGGGAGCUAUCUGUUUGGAAUGAGUGAAACCGUGGCCAUACAAUCAACAGAAUAUAGAGAUGUCUUUAAGAACCCAUCUCUGUCAUGGAUGAUUGGCUUUCUGUUUGUUGUUAGCUUUCUUGGACUCUUUUCAGUGGUGCCUCUUCGAAAGGUAGACUUCACAACAUUUGAUUAUCGCCAUUCAAUUUCGUAUAGGAAAUAGAAAACUUCUCUCUGCAUUUUGCUUUCUUGUUGAAUGUAUUGAUUUUGCCAAAAUCUAAUCUUCAUUGUUAUUUCCAGGUCAUGAUUGUAGACUUCAAAUUGACAUAUCCAAGUGGCACUGCAACUGCUUAUCUCAUCAACAGCUUCCACACUCCUGCAGGAGCCAAGCUAGCAAGGUAAGGCAUUAUCAGACCUCAUGCACAUAUAGUUGGAUGAUCAUUCGGCAUGUAAAAGUAUCAAACUUCUUCUUUUUUUACUACCGUUUCAGAAAACAAGUGAAAGCGUUGGGCAAGUUCUUAUCAUUCAGCUUCUUGUGGGGUUUCUUUCAGUGGUUCUACACUGCAGGAGAUGGUUGUGGAUUUGUUGAGUUCCCCUCACUCGGGCUUAAAGCAUAUGAAAACAAGUAAAAGCAUUACUCAAACUUCCAAAAUCCUCUCAUCCUAUUGAAUGUAGUUCAAUUUAUUAUGGCACUGUGUUUCAAAUUUGUUGCGGUAUCCUUGACUAAUAAUGUUAUUGUUAUAUGUACAGAUUUUUCUUUGAUUUCUCAGCAACAUAUGUUGGAGUUGGAAUGAUUUGCCCCUACAUCAUAAACAUAUCAGUUUUGCUUGGAGGAAUUCUUUCCUGGGGUCUCAUGUGGCCUCUCAUAGAUACAAAAAAGGGUGAUUGGUAUUCAGCAGACCUCAAAUCUAACAGCCUACAUGGCCUCCAAGGUUACAGGGUAAGUUUUCUAACAAGGUUAAGGUGACAAGAGUGCUAUUCUUGAAGCCUUUUCAUUCAUAACAACUCUUAUGCAAUGAACUCAGGUAUUUAUUGCCAUUGCCCUGAUCUUGGGUGACGGUCUGUACAACUUCUUCAAGGUGCUAAGCCGAACACUCACUGCCUUGUAUUUUCAACUUCAAAGGAAAGAUGCAACUGGUGCCCUCCCUAUUGCGGACCGUUCCUCUCCUGAGAACUCCAGGAUCUCAUACAAUGAUCAACGCCGCACCCAACUCUUUCUCAAAGAUCAAAUUCCAACAUGGUUUGCUGUUGCAGGCUAUGUCGCAAUUGCUGCUAUCUCUAUAGCCACGCUACCGCAUAUAUUUCCUGAACUCAAAUGGUAUUACAUAUUGGUUAUCUACAUCUUCGCCCCAGCCCUUGCAUUCUGUAAUGCUUAUGGCUGUGGCCUCACUGACUGGUCCCUCGCUUCCACCUAUGGAAAGCUUGCAAUUUUUGUAAUUGGAGCAUGGGCUGGUGCCUCUCAUGGUGGAGUUCUUGCAGGACUAGCGGCCUGUGGAGUCAUGAUGAAUAUCGUGUCCACAGCCUCCGACCUCUCUCAAGAUUUCAAGACUGGUUAUCUAACCCUUUCUUCACCACGGUCCAUGUUUGUUAGCCAACUAAUUGGCACUGCAAUGGGUUGCAUUAUUUCACCUUGUGUCUUUUGGCUGUUUUUCAAGGCCUUCAAGGAUCUUGGGAUUCCUGGAAGUCAAUACCCUGCUCCUAAUGCUACUGUAUUUCGAAACAUGGCUAUAUUGGGGGUAGACGGAUUCUCGUCUCUACCAAAGAAUUGCCUCUAUCUUUGCUAUGGGUUCUUCAGUGCAGCUAUUCUGAUAAAUUUAAUUAAGGAUGCAUUGGGUAAGAAAUGGGCUAGGUUCAUUCCCAAUCCAAUGGCGAUGGCUAUACCUUUCUAUAUUGGCUCAUACUUUGCCAUCGACAUGUGUGUGGGAAGCUUGAUGCUGUUUAUCUGGGAAAAGAUUGACAAGGCAAAGGCAGAUGCUUUUGGGCCAGCAGUGGCUUCUGGUUUGAUUUGCGGGGAUGGGAUAUGGACUUUGCCUAGUGCGAUACUUGCUCUAGUAGGAGUAAAACCUCCCAUUUGCAUGAAGUUUUUGUCAAGGAGAACAAAUGCUAAGGUCGAUGCGUUCUUAGGGUCAUAAAGUCGAAGUUGAGAUCAACUUGAAUAGAAACUGUUAAGUAAAGCUGAAUUGCUUCCUAGACUAAGGUUAUGAAGUUUACAUGUGAAGUUCGACUCAAAAAUGCUGUGGAUAAUCAAUCACCUGCAAUUUCGUGGAGCCAACCACUAUUUUCGCUAUAAUCUUUUCUGGAGAAGAAAAUCAAAUGUCCAUUUACUUACAUAUGUUUGUAGUUUUUUUCUAGUCUAGUUUGAAGAAGAUAGUAGAACAGAUGCAUCAAGCAAUGUGAAAAGUGAAAAUUACAGUACCCUUUGUGAGCUGUUAUGAUCAGUUGCUAUAUUUGGUAUCAGUUUGCUCAUUUUGCUAGCUAUCAUAUAUCAGGUGGUCCGAUGUGGCAUUGGAAUGGCCUUCUAGUUGUUAGCAGUCUCACAAUAAAAUCAUGCCAGACUUAGUCAUCCAACACGAGAAAAAAAAAAAGAUGGAAAAAAUAUCAGAUGCGUCGAGGAAGACGAUAAAAGCUUCAGCGAAUGAGACUUGUAACAAAUAUUUUACCUAGGUGUUUCCUAAUAAUAUGAAAAGAAGCUGAAAAAUAGAUAAGCAUUCCCGUAGUGAUCUUAAUGGCAUCUAAGCCCAGAGUGAGUGAAGUACAUAAAGAGUGCAACUAUAUUCAUAGUUAAUUAUCAUAGAAUCCUCAACUCUCCAUCUUGCUGUUGUUAUGAUUUGUUUAUAACUCAUCUUCAAUCUCAUGCUUUGUAAGGCAAGAUCCUGCAUUGUUUUUUAGAGAUAAGUUUAAAUUAAAUAACGUUAUAUUUUAUAUAUAUAAUAUAAAGAUUACAAACUCAAUCAUUUGGAUUAUUUUGUGACUGUAGUGUGUUUAAAAAUAUAACAGUAAGUAAUUCCUGUUCUAGAAAAUUUUAAAAUAAUAUAUUUUUUUUAUUUUAAAAAAUGUAUUUUUCAUAUUAGUAUAUUAAAAUAAUUAAAAAAUAUUAAAUAAAAAGUAAUUUAAAACACAGACAGGUUAAAACUCACUGCAACGACCCGUUUUAACUCCUCCUCAUGUUCGUCUUCAAUUCGGAUGUGUUGAGCAAUAAUCACAGCCACUUAUUAAACACGCUCCCAACUCUCUUCGUCUCCAUAAAGAAUCAUUCUUUUAAGAAAAUAAAAUGGAACGUAAUGAAAGAGACGACACCAAGGUAGAGAAUGAUUAUGAUUUGGAGGAUGAUCAUGGUCACAGAAAGAAGGACAAGAAAGAGGAACAAGAAGAAGAGUUGUCAGUGGAAAGAAUAUUUGAGAACCAAGAAGUGCCAUCAUUGGAGGAAUCAGCUGACACUGAGGGCCUUUGUGGUGAGCUUCGUGUUGAGCAUUUUAUUCAGCGUCAUAGUAAUGAAGCUCAAUCUUACAACUGGUAUCAUACCUUCCCUCAAUGUCUCUGCUGGCCUUCUGGGCUUCUUUUUUAUCAAGACCUGGACAAAGUUUCUUGAAAAGUCUGGACUUUUGAAGCAACCCUUUACGAGGCAAGAGAACACUGUAAUACAGACUUGCGUGGUUGCCUCAUCUGGCAUUGCCUUUAGUGGUAUACUUUCUGUACUGUUUACUAUCAUUAAUUUUCAUUUCAUCUCUCUUAAUUAUUUUGAAAUUCAAUUUUUUUUUCUCUUUUCUUUCGAAGUUGAGGAGAUAUCUAGGUUUCUUUUAUCAAGAUAUUAAUAUUUCUGUGCAUUUGGUUUUGUUUCUGUUCUUAAAGGUUGCAAACUUACAAUAGUUACUAAAAUUCGAUGUCAAGAUUUCCAUCUUCUAAUUGCUAGAUUACCUGAUGAGGCAACCACUUUUACUAGAGUAAUCAACACUUAAACUUACCAUUAGAGACAUGAACAAAUCUAUCUCUGUCUCCUGGAGUGUGAUAAUGUUAGGGGUGCAGCUGGUAUGUCACUUGACAGAUACUUUUUUGACAGUUCAAUUCAUAUGCGCUGGAUGUGGAUGACUUCCUAAGUUCAGAUUUAUAUCAGCAAGUCUUAUAACAAUAUUCUGAUUUGUGGAAAAAGAAGUCUUCUCCAUUAGUAAAAGAAAGGAAAAUGUGAAUAAUAUAUGUUUCUAGAAUGCUAGUUGUGAGCUUGCGUUAUUAAUCAAACAUCUUCUCAAACUGUGAAUCAUUAACAUAAUGUCAAGAUGAAUACAUUAUAUUUCUAACUCGUCCAAAUAGUCAAGAAAAGCCUGAUUACUUGCCAAACUUGUUUCGAAACUGAAUUAAUUAUUGUCAUGAAACGGUUAAUUUGUGAUUAUGCUUAUGAUGAUAUUAAACUUGUUGAUUUUUGUACUAAUGGUUUCCAUUCUAUAAUUUUUUCCUUGUUUCCUUAUAAUAGGAGGCUUUGGGAGUUAUCUGUUUGGAAUGAGUGAAACUGUGGCCAAACAAUUAACUGAAGAUAGUGAUGCCUUUAAAAAUCCAUCUCUGUCUUGGAUGAUUGGCUUUUUGUUUGUCGUUAGCUUUCUUGGGCUCUUUUCGGCGGUGCCUCUACGAAAGGUAGACUUUACAACUUAUAUCAGCAUUCAAUUUCUUUAUAUGAUUAUAGAAAAUAGAAAACUUUUUUUUGCAUUUUACAUUUUUGCCGAAUGUAUAGAUUUUCCAAAAAUUAAUCCUCAUUGUUACCCUGGUUAUUUCCAGGUCAUGAUUAUAGACUUCAAAUUGACAUAUCCAAGUGGCACUGCAACUGCUCAUCUCAUCAACAGCUUCCACACUCCUGCAGGAGCCAAGCUAGCAAAGUAAGGCGUUAUCAGACCUCAUGCACUUAUAGUUGGAUGAUCAUUUGACAUGUAAGAGUAUUGAACUUUGUUAUUCUACUGUUACAGGAAACAAGUGAGAGUGUUGGGCAAGUUCUUCUCAUUCAGCUUCUUGUGGGGUUUCUUUCAAUGGUUCUACACUGCAGGAGAUGGUUGUGGAUUUGCUGAGUUCCCCUCGCUUGGUCUUAAAGCACAUGAAAACAAGUAAAAGCAUUACUCAACCUUCCAAAAUCCUCUCUUCUUGUUGAAUGUAGUUCCAUUUACUAUGGCAUUCUGUUUCAAAUUCGUUGUGGUAUCUUUGACUAAUAAUGUUCUUGUUACAUGUACAGAUUUUUCUUUGAUUUCUCAGCAACAUAUGUUGGAGUUGGAAUGAUUUGCCCCUACAUCAUAAACAUAUCAGUUUUGCUUGGAGGAAUUCUUUCCUGGGGUCUCAUGUGGCCUCUCAUAGAUACAAAAAAGGGUGACUGGUAUCCAGCAGACCUCAAACCAGGCAGCUUGCAUGGCCUCCAAGGUUACAAGGUAAGUUUUCUAACAAGGUUAAGGUGACAAGAAUGCCAAUUACAUGAUUUUUAACAUUUUCUUGAAGCCUUUUCUUUCAUACCAACACUUAAGCAAUGAACACAGGUAUUUAUUGCCACUGCCCUGAUCUUGGGUGACGGUCUAUACAACUUCUUCAAGGUUCUAAGCCGAACACUCGCUGCAUUGUUUUUUCAACUUCGUGGGAGAGAUGCAACUGGUGCUCUGCCUAUUGCUGACCGUUCCUCUCCCAAGACAUCCAGGAUCUCCUAUGAUGAGCAACGUCGCACCCAACUCUUUCUCAAAGAUCAAAUUCCAACAUGGUUUGCUUUUGCAGGUUAUGUCACAAUUGCUGCCAUUUCUACAACCACCGUUCCGCAUAUAUUUCCCGAACUAAAAUGGUAUUACAUAUUGGUUAUCUACAUCUUUGCCCCAGCCCUUGCAUUCUGUAAUGCUUAUGGUUGUGGACUCACUGAUUGGUCCCUUGCUUCCACCUAUGGGACGCUUGCUAUUUUUGUAAUUGGGGCGUGGGCUGGUGCCUCUCAUGGUGGAGUUCUUGCAGGACUAGCGGCCUGUGGAGUCAUGAUGAAUAUUGUCUCCACAGCCUCUGAUCUAUCUCAAGAUUUCAAGACUGGUUAUUUGACCCUUUCUUCACCUCGGUCCAUGUUUGUGAGCCAGCUAAUUGGCACUGCAAUGGGUUGCAUGAUUUCCCCGUGUGUAUUUUGGCUUUUUUUUAAGGCCUUCAAGGAUCUGGGGACUCCUGGAAGUCAAUACCCUGCUCCUUAUGCUACUGUAUUUCGAAACAUGGCUAUAUUGGGGGUAGAAGGAUUCUCCUCUCUCCCAAAGAAUUGUCUCUAUCUUUGUUAUUGGUUCUUCGGUGCAGCAAUUCUGAUAAAUUUGAUCAAGGAUGUGUUGGGUAAGAAACGGGCUAGGUUCAUUCCCAAUCCAAUGGCAAUGGCUAUACCUUUCUAUAUUGGCUCAUACUUUGCCAUCGACAUGUGCGUGGGAAGCUUGAUUCUAUUUAUCUGGGAAAAUAUUGACAAGGCAAAGGCAGAUGCUUUUGGGCCAGCAGUGGCUUCUGGUUUGAUUUGUGGGGACGGGAUAUGGACUUUGCCUAGUUCGAUACUUGCUCUAGCAGGAGUAAAACCUCCCAUUUGCAUGAAGUUUUUGUCAAGGAGAACAAAUUCUAAGGUCGAUGCGUUCUUGGGGUCAUAAAUUUGAAGUUCAGAUCAACUUCAAAAGAAACUGUGAGUUAGAGCUGAAUUGCUUCCCAGACUAAGGUUAUGAAGUUUACAUAUGAAGUUCGACUAAAAAAUGCUGUAGAUAAUCACCUGCUAUUUGUGGAGUCAGCAACUAGUUUCUCUAUAAUCAUUUCUGGAGAAGAAAAUCAAAUGUCCAUUUACUUAUAUAUGCUUGUUAGUCGAUCCUUGGAAAUAUGCUUGUAGUUUUUUUCUUGUCUAUUUUGAAGAAGAUAGUGGAACAGAUGCAUCAAACAAUGUGCAAACGGAAAAUCACUGUACCCUCUGUGAACUUUAAACAUAAUAUCAAAAGUGAAUGUGCAAAUAUUACAGGUUGCAGGCAUGUUUAUUUUGAACAUAUUGCAAUUAUCGUUGUUGAUUUCUUCUUCCUUGUUCGUAUCCGACCUUCCAGAAUCACACCCAAGACCGCUGUUGUUAUCCUGGGUUGCUGCUCUACUGCCUUCAAUUCCUCAGCUGUUGUUUUGCUGUUUGAUGUUAUCACAGCUUUUGCACCAGUAUGUAUUAUCUUUGGAUUUUACUCAAUCUGGUAAGGUUAUGAUCAGUUGCUAUAUUUGGUAUCAGGUUUGCUCAUUUUGCUGGCUUUGGUAUCAGGUGGUCCAACGUGGCAUUAGUAUGGCCUUCCGGAACUGCUGUGUUCUUAUCAGUCUCUCACAAUAAAACCAUGCCAGAAUUAGUUACCCAACAGGGAAAAAAACAGGAAAGAAAAAAAAAAAAAACAUCAGAUGCAUCGAGAAAGACGAUAAAAGCUUCAGCGAUGAGACUUGUAACUAUCUAAACAGCCGAUCAAAUAAGUUUGAAGUGAUUGCUUGUGUAAUGAUUAUCUUAUUUUAUCUAGGUUUGUCCUAAGAAUAUGAAAGGAGUUGCAAAUAGACAAGCAUUGCUGUAUUUUUAAUGGCAUCUAAGCCGUAGGAGUAAGUGAACUGCAUAAACAGGUUAUCAUUUGGAUCAAACGUUGAUUUUGAAAAUAUCCUAAAAAUAAUUUUAUUUAUUUUAGUUAAACAAAUUUAAAUUAAAAUAAACACAUAAAUAAGAGCUCAUAAAAAUAACUCAGAAGCCUUAGCCUACUGACCCAACUUUGGCUAAAUAACACCAGGCUAGGCAUGCAUCGCAAUGGUAUGAAUACAUUUUCAAGUAUUAAGAUUUUGUUAAUUAAAAAAAGCAAAAAUAUUGUUUAUAUUUAAUAAAAUAAAUAUAAAAAAUUAUGAACCAAUAAUCUAAGAAAGAGCUUAUUCUAAUUAUAAAAUAAAAUAGAAAGAUAAUCUUUCCCUUAAGAGCAAAAGUGUAUAAAUAUACUUUUUUUUUAAUUUAUAUAUAUAUAUUUUAAUUUAUUUUAUCUUAGUUGUUGCUCUUACCAACAACAAAUGGCUUAUAUUUUUAUAAAUAAAUCAUGCAAAUACAAUUUAUUUUUAUAAAAUAUAAAAGAAACAAAAAUUAAAGAUAAAUUACAAUAAUUUCUUUGAAACAUUAUAAGAAUACCAAAAAAAAAGCAAAAAAAUAUAUUUAAGAAAUCUGAACUAAACUAUUUUAAAAAAUAAAAGAGAAUGUAUUAAUUAAAAUUCAAAUAAAAAAUAAUGCAAAGAAUAAAAGUACAUAAAAAAGGGUAUUAAUGAAAAAAGAAAACAAGAGAAAAUUAAAAGAAAAAAAAAGAAGAAGAAGAAGAGCAAAUCAUACUAGGUCUUGCAAGCUACCAAAAAGCCCAGCUAUUUUUUUUUAGUUGUUCGUUCCUUUAUUAUUUUUUUUAUACUAAAUUAUGAUAGUGUUUGUUUUUAUGAUAAUAUCAUAUUUUUUAAAAAUAAUUAAAAAAAAAUGUUUUAAAUUAAUUAAUUAAUUAUAUAUAUAUAUAUAUAUAUAUAUAUAUUAUUGAUUGUUUUGGUAUGCUAUCAUCAAAAAUAAUAUUUUAAUAUAUUUAUAAGUAAAAAUAUUUUAAAAAACAACCACUAUCAUAAUACCAAAUAUUAUCAACAAGUAUUUUGUUACGGGGAUGAUUUAUUAUCAUCUAAAUUAUUUUCUAGUUAUCUCUGGAAAUAAAAUAAAAAAUCAGUUUUAGAACCCCAAAAGUUUAUUUUUGUUGAAAUUUAUCCAAAUAUUUGGCAAAAAAAUUGUCAGAAGGUGCAUUUUUUAACACUAAACCCCAAAAAACCCUGCAUUGUUUCCUCUUUUAUCAAAUCUGGUCCCUAAAGUUUUUGUUUUAGCAUGCAACGUAACAAGAUUAAUUUGUUUUUGCAAAAUCAAGCAUGGACCAAAUAUGUUAGUAAAAGUUUAAAAGAAUAAUAAUAAAAAUAAAAAUGUUCACAGCGCAUCUGCUCACAAUCCACAUAGUAAUCCUAAACCCCUGGAGGUUUUUUUUUUUUUUUAAUGUGUUAAGUGAUAAGUAGUUAAAUAUAAGUUUAGAACUAUUAAAAGAUUAGUCUAGAAUGAAAAGAAUAAUCAGCACGUCAUUUCAUAUAAGACUAUUGUACGAUUUUUUAAAAAUAUAUAAAAAUAAAAUUGCUCUUUGUCCGAAGAUUAGAGUCUUUCAAAUAUGCUUCGUUCAUGUUCUCAAUAAAUCCCUCGUGUGAAUAUUUAGUCUUAUGAUAGCUAGCAGGUAGCUUGCGUUUGAUUUUUUGUUGUCUACCACUAACUUGCUUGACUGUCUUAAUUUAAUAUCUGCCAUCGAUUUCCAUAAAUGGUAAUAUAAGAGAACAAAAGGAUCAUAUAUGGGCUGCUUGCUGUUAUAGUAAAUUAAGGGCACGUGGAGACUACAUUAUUUUACGAAGAGGCCUCUGUUUGUUUUUCAGUGUGGACUCCAAGUGAAAAUACUGUGGAUUUGCAUGGUGUUUUUAUUUUUUUUAUUCUAUUAUCAAACUUUAUCAUUUUUAACUUCUUUAAUUUGUGUUCAUCGGUGAUUUGGCCUCGUAACUUAUUUCGUGCUACUAAUUUUAAGGUCUCGGUGGUCUUUUAAAAAAUAAAAAUACUAACCUCUUUUUGAAAAACAAAAUGCGUCAAUGCCUUUUUGGAAAAUUUAGGCUUGGGAUUUUGUCAAAUUUUAUUUUUCAUUUAGUCUGAAUAUUAUACAAGUCAGUCCAAUGCUUCAUUAUUUUUAUAUUUUAGUUUCUAAACUGAGAGGAGAUACAGUUGUCCAAAAACAAUAAAAAAGAGAAACAUGAUGGUUGUUCUAACUUAAUUAACAAAAAUAAUCAAAUUUGAUAUUAAAGUGUUUAUCUUGACAAGAAAAAUAUUAUUAAAGUGUUUUUAAACUUUUAUAUAAGGGUUGAGAGAGGUUUUUUGUUUUCAAUUUAUUUUUAAAUCAAUUUAGAUCUAUUUGAGCUGGGAAAUUAGUUUUUUAAGGCUAUACUAAUAUUUUUCAAGAGUUUCUAGGUGGGUUUAGGUUGAAAAUUGAUUUUUUGACUAAAAAAUUAUACAACUUGAUUUUUUGACCGUUUCUAUUUUUAUAAUGGUUAAAAUUUAGAUUUACAUCUGACACGUUAUCUACUUAUUAAUCACACAGGCCCACACUUGUAAUUUACUUUUUGAAAAAAUAUUUUUUUAACAAUAUUUAUUUUCUAAAAAAAGUCAUUGAUUCAAAAUAUAAUAUAAAUAAUUUCGGUUAAAUUCUUAGAUUUAUUAAGAAUGUCAUUUUAGAUAUUAUUUUAAUAGAUUCCAUUUAAUUUUUGUGUUGUUCUUGAACAAUCAUUAUUUUUAAAAAAUUCAUUUUAAUUAUUUUUUUAUUUAUUUGCUUGCUAUCAUAUAAUUAAAUAAAAUAUAAAUUUUUUAAAUUCAAUUGGACCCUAACUUAUGACCUAUAUUAAAAGUUUGAUAAGUUAAUUAAGAUUAAUAUGAUAUAUUACAGCUUUAAUAUUAAGAAAAUAAGGAUGUUGUUUUGAAAAAAACAUUUUAAUCAAAUCAUUAUUUUAAUAAUUUUUUAAGUUUUUUUUAUAUGGAUAAAAAUAAUCAAGUCAUAUCAAAUUAAUUAUUUAAUUUAAACUUGAGAUUGAUAAAGAUUCGAAUAAGAAGAUUUCAACCUAGAUGAAUUGAAUUGUGUGUAAUGAGACUUACAAAGUGUUUCUUUUAAUAACAUGCGACCUUUGAAAUGAUGAUUGAAUACUGUCUAAUAAAUAAAUGGUCUAGUGGAAUUUAAAAACAAAAAGUAGCACAUUAAUGAGACAAAUGAGUUUUAGUUAGAUAACUGUAUUUUUUAUUUUUAUUAAAAUCAUCAGGAUUUUUUUUUCCGGGUAUAUAUGUGGAAAGCUUUUAAUUUUUACUAAAUAAAUGACAUAGAAAAAAUGUUAUGUUUUUAAAAAAUUAAAGAUAAUAAUUAGAAUAUUUUUUCCAUUACUCUUCUUAUAAAAAAUAUUUAUGCCCUAUAAUUAAGUUAAAAAUAAUUAAAAAAAUUCACAGCAAAUGAUCAAAUAUUUUUAUUGCGUUUAUCUCUUUUCUUCACAAACUAGUUUUUAGUUAAUAUUAAAAUAUAUUUUAGCAUUUAUAAUUUUUAAUCUAUUUAAUUAAACAUAUCCAUCAAAUUUUAAGUUAAGAAAUAAGAUUUUUCUUUAGCUAGCAUUAAAACCUCUUAACUAGAUUAUUCCAUGUUGGAUAUUAUUACAAACAAUAUGAAUAGUUCAUCUCCUACAUCAGUUUGUUAUAUUUAACAAAAAUAAUAAUAAUUUUUGUUAGAUAUGAAUCUAAAAUUUAAAAUAAAAGAAAAUCAACAAAUUAAUAAAAUAUUCUUCCUUAACUGUGAGUUUAAUUAUUGGGGAUUUUUUUAUUCUCCAAUUAAUAUUGUGCAAGAAUCCUAGCUAGCAAAUAUUAUGGAAAUUAAGUUGAACAGUCGAAGGUUUGGUACAGCCAUGAUUUUUCGUUGGCUGCGGUGGCCAUGGACAAAUAUAGCAAGCUCCUCAAUUUCCAUUUUUGCAGGCUUUGAAUAGUAGAUUUCUGGCUGGACCAUCCAUCUUCUUUCCCACAUGUAUCAAGUCAAAAGAUACCUUUUAUAAGAUCAUGUUUAGUCUAUUCUUUAUUAUUUUUCGUACUUUACGGCCGCAUUUAGUCUUUGCAUGCACAAUUUUAAGAUUUAGGGUUUAUUUUUUUAUUAUAGGCCAGUUGUUUUCCCAUAUAUACGUCAAGACCUAUUUAAUUCAUUGCAGAAAUAACUUUGAUUUGUUUUUUCUAAACAUAGAAGAGUAAAAGCCUCUGCAUCCCUGUAGUUGUUGUUAUUUUUUAAAGUAAUUUUAAUUGAAAAAUAUAUUAAAAUAAUUUUUUUUUUAAUUAAGGUAGUCAUUUUCUUUAGUUAGAGCUAAUAUAUAAUCUAUUUUGAUAGAAAUAUCUAGGACACAUUGAUUUGAUUUUUAAUGAUUAAAAUCUCUUUUGACAUAGUCAGUGCAUAGUUAUAAUGUUUUACGUAGUUUUUUUUUUCAAAAAAUAGAUAGUUAAUAGCAAUACAAUUAAAACAUUUGAGGUGGUGGAAGUGUGGAACAAUGAACCUUUUGAAGCAAUCCCUUACUGGGAAGAUGACACUUUUAUCAAGACUUGGACAAAGUUUAAUUAAAAAGAGAAAGAAGUCAGUUAUUUCAAUUCAGUUGACAAAAUAACCAAACCCGAUGUAAAAGUAUUCAUUAGGAUUAAUAUUUUUAUUUAGUUAGCAUUAAAACCUCCUAUCCAAAUGAGGCCCAAGUUGGAUACUAAAACGUUUGAUUUCCUAAUUUUCUUUCAAAUAUAAGGAAUAUUCUCAUAUCACCUUGCUUAUAUAUUUAUCAAAACUUUUUGUUUUUACAAACAAUAUUAAAAGCAGGGGCAGAACAAAAAAAAUUAAAAGAGAUCAAAAUAUUAGUUAUUUUAUUAUUUAAGCUAAAUAUAUUAAUAUUAUAAAAGGAGGGGCUGAAAAAAUAAAUUUCUUGUAGGGGUCCCUUGAUUAAGGGUGCAUGUCAUACAUCAAUUUGUUAUAUUAAAAAAGAUUAAUAAAUUUUCUUAUAUAUAUCAAUACUAAAAAUUAAACUCAAAAAAUCAAAAAAUAAAACAUACUUCCAUAACGGUGAGUUUAAUUAUUGGGGUUCUUGAUUUGUCAAUAUUGUGCAAGAAUCCUAGCUAGCAAAUAUUAUAGAAAUUAAGUUGAACAGUGAAGGUUAGGUGCAGCCAUGAUUUUUCGUCGGGCGCGAUGACCAUGAGAAUACCACUACUAGUCUAAAGUAAAUUAUUGGGAUUUUUAAAAUCAAUCUUUCCACCGUGGUUUUUUUUUUUUUAAAAAAAAAAGGUUAAAUCAAGACCUUCUCGUAAGUCAGAGAUAAUAUAACCUAUCAUGAUAGAAAUAUCUAGAACAUUGAUUUUAAUUUUAAUAAUAUAUUAAAAUUUCUUUUCACUUAGUCAGUGGAUGGUUAUAAUUUUUUUUUAAUUAGUAGUAUUUGUUUUUCAAGUGUGUGUAUAUAUAUAUAUAUAAAAAGGAAAUUGAAACCAUUAAUUUUAAAUUUUAAAAUGAAUUAAUCUAAUAUGAUCAAACUACCGCAUUAAUCCAAUAAGAAUUUUAAAUAUUGGUUAAAAAGAGUUCUAAAUAGAAAUUCUUUUAGACUAAGAAAUCUUCCUCUAAUUUAAUUAGGAAUCCUUCUUCUACAAUUCAAUUCAAUAUACCAAAUAAAAUGACAUUGAAUUUAUUUUCCACGAAUAAGACUCAAGUUUAGAUGCACAAAACAUAAUUCUCGACCAAAAAAUAGUGUAGUAAGAGUUCAGCUCAACAAUUAAGCAUGUCCAACUCAACCGAAUGGCUUGAUUCCAAAAAUUCACAAAUCUAAAUAAUGCUAUUUCUUUUCCUGCAUAAAUCCUUAUAUCACUUUCGGAUCUGGACUUUGUAAGCGUGGCAGCCAAGUCAACAGUCAAUGGGCUCAUUUAAGGUGAAAAUCUUUAAAUCGACAUAUCAAAAUGAAUUGUGUGUUCAGAUUGAAGAUAUGAUUGGUUUUUUUAAAAGAUAUAGUUUUUUAAAAGUAUAAAUUAAUUAAAUCUAACAAAAAUAAAAAAUACAUAUUUUUUAUGUGGGUCUCACAAAAAAUACCAUAUAUAUCUCUAAGCCAAACACCCUUAGAAACCAUUGAAAUCAUGAAAUGGUCUUAUUGGUUUCAAUUUUCCAAACAUCUUUUAUAUAUAUGUAUAUAUAUAUAUAUAUAUAUAAUCAUUGAGUAUAUAUUAAAAAGUUUAUAAAACUAAAUAAAAAUAAAAUACAAGGACAUAAAAAAAAAACUCAAAUGGCAAGAAAAAGUUGUCCAGACACAAUUUUCUAGAAACCUUAAAUAAGGGCAUUGAUCAAAUUUGUCCCCGAUGACAAAUAAACUCCCAAUAUAGCACUUAUUUGGCCUUUUAAGACUUUUCAUAUCACGACUAAUUCUUAAUCGGGUGGUUCACUUUAAGUGGUGUAGCAAUUACAGUUAAAUUCGCUUAAUGGCCUUUAAGACUUUUCAUAGAAGGCCAUUAAUACUCAACUAAUUGAGUUCUGUUUUUUUUUUUUAAAACAAAACUGUUUUAAUUUUUUUUUUUAAUAAAGAGUUAAUCUAGAUUGAACUGUAGAGACACCAGUUUUGACCCCCCCCUGGUGAGACAAGUACUUUUGUCGAGCAAUAAUCACAGCCACCUUAUUUAACACUCUCCCAACUUUCGUAGCUUCCGCAAAGAAUUUUUUUUUUUAAGAAAAGAAAAUGGAACGUAAUGGCAGAGAUGACAUCGAGGUAGAGAAUGGUUAUGAUUUGGAGGAUGAUCAUGGUCACAGAAAGAAGGACAAGAAAGAGGAACAACAAGAAGAGUUGUCAGUGGAAAGAACAUUUGAGAAUCAAGAAGUGCCAUCAUGGAGGAAUCAGCUGACACUGAGGGCCUUUGUGGUGAGCUUCGUGUUGAGCAUUUUGUUCACCGUCAUAGUAAUGAAGCUCAAUCUUACAACUGGUAUCAUACCUUCCCUCAAUAUCUCUGCUGGCCUUCUGGGCUUCUUUUUUAUCAAGACCUGGACAAAGUUUCUUGAAAAGUCUGGCCUUUUGAAGCAACCCUUUACGAGGCAAGAGAACACUGUUAUCCAGACCUGUGUGGUUGCCUCCUCUGGCAUUGCCAAUAGUGGUACACUUUCUGUACUUCUUACUGCCAUUAAUUUUCAUUUCAUCUCUCAAUUAUUCUUAAAAUCAUUUUUUUUCUCUGUUCUUUCUGAGGUGAGGAGAUAUCUAGGCUUCUUUGAUCAAGAUAAUAUUUCUAUGCAUCUGGUUUUGUUUCUGUUCUUAAUUGUUGCUAAAUUCAAGUAGUUGCUAAAAUUCAAUGCCAAGUUUUCCUUCUUCUAAUUGGUAGAUUACAAGAUGAGGCAGCCGGUUUUUUCUCUCUGUCCCUUUCAUCUCAGAUGUGAGAUCUUUGAAGACAAUAAUUUCUUACUGCCUAAAGUCUUUGAGAGACAAAUCAAAAUUGAGGUUUUAUGACUAACAUUGUGCUAUUGUUUCAGCCACUCGUUACUAAACUACUCAACACUUGAACUUGCUGUUAGAGACAUGAACAAAUCUACCUUAGUGAAAAAGUUUGAUGAGUGUCUUCUUUAAAUGAUCUGUAAAUUUUCUUUACUAGCUUCCUCCCCGUCUCCUGGAGUGUGAUAAUGGUGUUGGGGGUGGCUGCUUUUUAUUUUUCAUCUAGUGUUUUUUAUGCAGGCAGAAGCAUAAAGACAGUUCAACAAUUACAGAGAAGACAAAUUUGUUGAGCGAAAAGAACUGCAAGCUUGAUCUCUAAAUUUACAAAAUAAUAUCAUAACCUUAAAAUAUAAAAGAAAAUAACAUAAAAUUCAAGAGAACACAAAAAAAUCCAGGAAAUGAAGGAAAAGUUUCUAUAUUAGAUCUUCCAAGUCUAAUUUCAAUAAAUUUGUAUAGUGGAUAAACUACAAAAAGAGGAUUUUUCAUGGAACUUUGGUCUAGAAAUUUCUUGUAAAUUACAAAUUUAAGUCUGAUUCAACUCGAAUCAAGAGUUAUAGUUGUUUUAAGUAACUAUGCAAAUCUCGCUAAAUCAAAUUUUUUUUUAGGGCUGACCCUAUCUUACUGUACAUAAAAAUAUAUGUUAAAUCAUACAUAUAGUUUUUAGCUGUGAACUGCUAAAAACUUUUAGUUUUGGGUGACAUGUCAGCAUCAGUUUUCUUGGGUUUCUAAUGCCCCACCGGGCAUAAAGUGCGACUGGCUGAGAUGGUUAACUUACUAAGUUCAAAGUUAUAUCUGUAAGUCUUAAAAUAAUAUUUUGAUUAGUGGAAAAACAAGCCUUCUCCAUUAGUAAACGAAAAGAAAACGAGAAUAAUUAAUCAACCCUUUUACUGUAGAUUUUCCUAUGUUGAACUUGUUCAUUGACCGAGAAUCAUUAACAUAAUGUCAAGAUGAAUACGCUAUAUUUCUAAAUAGUCAAGACAAGAUUAAAUGCCAAACUUGUUUUGAAACUGAAAUUGUUGUGAUAAAACAGUUAAUUUGUAUGAUCAUGUUGAACUCGUUGAAUUUCGUACUAAUGGUUUCCUUACAAUAGGAGGCUUUGGGAAUUAUCUGUUUGGAAUGAGUGAAACCGUGGCCAAACAAUCAACAGAUUAUAGAGAUGCCUUUAAAAAUCCAUCUCUGUCAUGGAUGAUUGGCUUUCUGUUUGUUGUUAGCUUUCUUGGACUCUUUUCAGUGGUGCCUCUUCGAAAGGUAGACUUCUCCACCUCUAUAACCAUUCAAUUUCGUCAUGUGAUUAUUGGAAAUAGAACACUUUUCUCUGCAUUUUCCGUUCUUGUCGACUGUAUUGAUUUUGCCAAAAUCUAAACUUCAUUGUUACCCUGGUUAUUUCCAGGUCAUGAUUGUAGACUUCAAAUUGACAUAUCCAAGUGGCACUGCAACUGGUCAUCUCAUCAACAGCUUCCACACUCCUACAGGGGCCAAGCUAGCAAAGUAAGGCAUUAUCAGAUCUCAUGCACUUAUAGUUGGAUGAUCAUUUGGCAACUAAAAGUAUCGUACUUUGUUUUUCUACCAUUGCAGGAAACAAGUGAGGGUGCUGGGCAAGUUCUUCUCAUUCAGCUUCUUGUGGAGUUUCUUUCAAUGGUUCUACACUGCAGGAGAUGGUUGUGGAUUUGCUGAGUUCCCCUCACUCGGUCUUAAAGCAUAUGAAAACAAGUAAAAGCAUUACUCCACCUUCAAAAAAUUUAUCAUCCUACUGAAUGUAGUUCAAUUUAUAUUGCCAUUGUGUUUCAAAUUCGUUGUGGUAUCUUUGACUAAUGAUGUUCUUGUUACACGUACAGAUUUUUCUUUGAUUUCUCAACAACAUAUGUUGGAGUUGGAAUGAUUUGCCCAUAUAUCAUAAACAUAUCAGUAUUGCUUGGAGGAAUUCUUUCCUGGGGUCUCAUGUGGCCUCUCAUAGAUACAAAAAAGGGUGAUUGGUAUCCAGCAGACCUCAAACCAGACAGCCUAAAUGGCCUCCAAGGUUACAAGGUAAGUUUUCUAACAAGGUUAAGGUGACAAGAGUGCCCAGUACAUGAUUUUUUACUUGUUCUUGAAGACUUUUCAAUCAUACCACCACUUAUGCAAUGUAUUCAGGUAUUUAUUGCCACUGCCUUGAUCUUGGGUGACGGUCUGUACAACUUCUUCAAGGUGCUAAGCCGGACACUCGUUGCCUUGUUUUCUCAACUUCGUGGGAGAAAUACAGUCGGUGCUCUCCUUGUUGCAGGCCGUUCUUCUCUCGAGAUCCCCACCGUCUCCUAUGAUGAGCAACGCCGCAACCAAUUCUUUGUUAAAGAUCAAAUCCCAACAUGGUUUGCUGUUGCAGGCUAUGUCGCAAUUGCUGCCAUCUCCACAGCCACCGUUCCGCGUAUAUUUCCCGAACUAAAAUGGUAUUACAUAUUGGUUAUCUACGUCUUUGCCCCAGCCCUUGCAUUCAGUAAUGCUUAUGGCUGUGGCCUCACUGAUUGGUCCCUUGCUUACUCCUAUGGGACGCUUGCUAUUUUUGCAAUUGGGGCAUGGGCUGGUGCCUCUCAUGGUGGAGUUCUUGCAGGACUAGCGGCCUGUGGAGUCAUGAUGAAUAUCGUCUCCACAGCCUCCGACCUCUCUCAAGAUUUCAAGACUGGUUAUCUAACCCUUUCUUCCCCACGGUCCAUGUUUGUGAGCCAACUAAUUGGCACUGCAAUGGGUUGCAUUAUUUCACCUUG
rnacentral:lncRNA from 1 species